rnacentral:lncRNA from 1 species
AUAAUAAAAAGUCUUUCGAUUGAGACUUCAUACUUUUACCUCCUUUCUCUCUCUGUUAUGGUGUUUAACAUGCAUUUUAUUAAGCUACUUUUCUAAGACAUACUUAAAAUCUAAAAAUUUACUCUACUGUCUGUAGAAAUACUGAAAACUUUUAAGGUAAAAAUGUAUAGAACUUAACGUGAGCUACUGUCGACCAUUUUGAUUUGGCUAAUCCAAUCUUUCAAAAUUUUGAUUUUGCUAUCCAACUUUUCAAUUUGUUUGAUUUGAGCCAGUCAACGACACUUUGACUUCAAAAUUUGAAGGUGUCGUUUAUCCUUACAAGUUUAAUUAGUAUAUUUCAUGCAAUUUUCGCAACUAAAUUUUGAAGUCAAAAUGCCAUCGACUGACUCUAAUCAAAUGAAUUGAAAGACUGGGUAGCCAAAUCAAAACGGUCCAUAGUUCAUAUCAAUUUUGUAUGUUUUUACCGACUUUUAAUUUCGCUUAUUUGCAGCGCUCCUCUGUUUGUGACACAUAAUUAAGUUUCUUCUUCUUUGCACUUAGAGAAAACCACAGCGCAGUUUUCUAGGUUGACUAAGGUGUCUCUUGUGUUCUCAUUCAGCUUAUGAAAUUACAGUAAGGUAAGGAAUAGAAAUAGCCGAAGGAUAGUUGGUUGAUGAGGACUCGUAUUAUUAUUUGUUUUUGCUAUUAAAACUUAGUAGUACUUCUUAUACAGUAUUGAUCGGUCAAGAAUGUAUGCUGUUUGAGCAUGCAAUGAUGGCUCUUCUUGUUAGACUGUUAUUUGUUAGAUCAAUCUUUUCAGUGAAAUGUGAAUCUUUGAAGCCUUUACUAGGGUUUAACCCACUUAGCAGCUUCUUAGCAGUUGAUAGAUCAUAAAUACUUAAACUGAUGUUAGAUUGAUAUGAAGUUGGUCUGUCGAGACUCCAGAUUCAAGCUGCAGGCAUCUUUUCAGGGGAUCUAAUGUACAACCACUGGGGUUUCGGGGCAGAUUUUAGUAGAUGAGUUCCGUCAGGUGCAGAGAGGCAGUAGGUGGAGAGGUUGGUAAUAUUUGUUCAGGGUUUUGAGACCAGAGAGGUGGUGUAAGGUUGGUCACGAUGACGAGCAAUUUACUCUCACGCUAGGUUACUGUUGCACGCGCCAUGGAUAGAGACUCUCAAACCAUGUACAAUUCUUAUAUUCUAAGUUCUAACUGUGUCGUGGUCGGUUCUAUAUGUUGUACUUAUUUAGGGUUUCAGAUGAUUGAUUUGGGCCUACCGACUAGCACUUGGGCUUUUGGAAGUUAAAAGAGCUAAAAAUAUAGUAAACUGAAAUCAGCUAAUAACAUACAAAACAACACCUUCGGAUGUCGUUCUUGCACAAAAUAAUAAGGUUUCAUUCAAAGAAUAAGCGAGAUCGACGCCUUUUGCUAAAUAAGCAGAACUGCGAGUGUUAAAUGAAAUUCUAAUCAUUUUUUAUGAUUCUAGUUGAAAAAAUGAUUCUAAAUUCAAAAGAAUAGAAGCAUAAACUGUUUAUUGUAGUCCAGCAUAUAUAAUAAUUAAGGGGCUUUUGCUUAUUUACCCCUGACGACUAUUCAAAAUUUCCAAAUUUGCCCUAAAAUUACCAAAAUACCCUUCUAAACCCCAAAUCCUAUUUGAGUAAACCCUAGUGUUUGGGGAUAUUUGAAGGGAUUUUUGGAAAUCAAUGGGGGCAUUUUGGUUAAUCAGAGAUAUAUUAGAUAUUUUUGAAGUUUUGACUGGUAUAUUAGAUAUUAUCUAAUAAUUGUUUUAAUUAAUUAAACUUAGGCUAAAUUGCACUUUUUGUCCUCAAGCUAUCAGGCAUGCUAUACUUUGAUCCUCAAAUUUUAAUUUGUUGUAAUUGUUGAUUCAAACUUUUUGAAUUGUUGCAAUAAAGCCCCACAAUCUGAUUUAGUUGACUAAAUAUUGAUGUGUCGCUAAUAUGAAAGUAAUAUAGCAGUGUUGUGAUUGAUAGUGCGAGAAUGAUUAAGAUGUAAAAUUACUUCCACAUGAGUGACAUAUCAAUAUUUAAUCAAUUAAAUUGUGUUAUGGAUUUGAUUACAACAACUAACAAAAUUCAAGCCAGAAAUUGAAACAAAUUAAAGUUUGAGGACCAAAGUGUCACGCGCCUCAUAGCUUGAGGGCCAAAAGAGUAAUUUAGCAUAAUUAAAUUAACGUUUCAUAUUCAGCAUCACAUUAUCUUUGAAAAUCUAAUCAUCAAUCAAUCUCUUCUCAUGCAUUUAUCUCAUGUACAUUACAUGGUAUGUUAAGUACAUUCGAAAUUCCGUCUUGCUGCGUCUUUUUACGGCCGUCGUCUUCACCGUGCUCGAAUCCACCCUACUCGUUACAACGUAAAUGAAAUUUUUUCUAUUUCAGGGAACAAAUAACCAACUUUUGCUGCUGGAGAAGAUGAACCAGAGAGUAGGAGAAGAGUACAACGCCUUCGGAGAUGUCGCAUCCGGGCUAAGAGUCUUUGUCGAACAACUCGGCGAGAAGAGCCGUGGCUUCGACGAGUUCGUGCAGCGAAUCGACCGUAUAGACCAGCAAGUCACCGAGUUCGAAGCUGUUGUCUCGAUGCUCGAUAAAUACGUCUCCUUACUAGAAAAUAAAGUACAAUCCGCGUAUCAUCAUAAUACACCGCCUUAGUAUUUCUGUUGGGUUAAAUUUUACGGUCUUCUUGGAGAUAUGAUCCGAUCGAUGAUUUUGCUCGAUAUUUCCUUGUUCUUUUUCUUUGUCAUGGAGAUCAGAAUCAUUUGAUUUGGGUGGGUGUAGAAAUUGUUGUGUAUGUUGAGUGAGUGGUUAGGUAAAAAAGCACUUUUGUGCAGGUUGUGUAAUAACUGCAGUUAGAAAGAGAGAGCUCUUCUGUUAUUGACAAUCUCUUCAUUUUUCUACCAGAGAGUUAAGUAGUACGGUUACUAUAUUUGAUAAAGAUAUAUAAUAAACAAUUAAAAUAUACUAAUGCAAAAAAAAAAAAAAAAAAAAUUAUGCCAUCGUAUGUCGAGACACAUUUUUAUGAUCGGCGCUGCACGGAAUGCACCGUGCCGUACCACACCAGCAAGUUUGCAACGUGAUUGCAAUGUGACAUCAUGUCAUCAGCACUAUGAAAUCGACGGCAGGCAGAAUUUGACACCACAAAUGGCGAAAAGGUAACUGACAGAAGAAACCAGCAAGACCUUUCUUUGAUCUUAAGAUUCCAAGAAAAGCUCCACUCAGAAUAUAAAUCAUCCUCAACCACUGACUAGGAAAAAUAAGCAGCACCAUAGAAGAAGAACAAUUAUUUAGGUUUAACACACUGGAACAAAAGCCAGAGAUACUUACUAUAAUGCCAUAAAAAUACCAAAUAUACACUGCAUUUUAUCUGCUUUAUUCGGAUAAUUAUGUCCCUAUUAAGGAAAACAUAAAAACGUAGCAAUCAGAGAGGCAGGCUCCCACACUACGCACCUCGACCUUGUAAACUACCAUUUCACUUGCACUUAAACACAAUAUCCACAGUAGCGGCAAGCUCUUUCGACGCAUUCUCAUGCUGUUAUUGCUAAGGCCCUUUCGCUGCGCAUUACAACUUUACUAGGAGGCAACACAAACAACAAACUGCAACACACCAACACACUCACAAAGCAUACACACAACGGGCGGUUACUAAUCCUUCUUCCUCUAAUUUCCUAACUCUUCAAAACUUGCAAGAAGUGCCCAGCCUCUGCUUCUGCCACUGGCCGGCAGCCCCGCACCUGCGGUCGCGGAGCGCACGUUGCAGCAGAUCGUGGAACUUCUCGAGGAAGGCCAGCCACUCCUCGUCACCCAUGUCGACCAGCUUCACAAAGCUCGUGCUCCCCGGAAGCUGCCCGUUUGCGCUGCUGCUGCUGUUCCCGCCGCCAGCCGGAUCGCUGCCGUGAUUGUUAAUUUUCCCAGUAGCAUUAUGCCCUUUUGGUGCUAGGGUUUUGUUGCGUGGAUUCUUCUCGGUGAGGCUAACACCCUUUAACGAAACCGAGAGUUUCGAAGGAGUAGGAAGCCGCUCAUGAACAGCAGAGAAGCUAGUAACCUCUUCCAUGUCUAAGUUAUUCUCAUCAUCUUCCUCUUCCUCCUCGAUGCUCUCCUCCAGUUUAGAUAGAGGGUUUCUAAAGCUCAACCCCUUGCUUCCAAAAUUGAACAAUCUUGGCGAUCUGUAACUGUCGACUUCCUCACCAAAGUCAAUGUGAAACUGGAACUCAUUAUCCUCUGUUUCUAGUUUCGGCGAAAAUUCUUCUCUUUCUGCUAUUAUCCUCCUAGCCUCCAUGCAAACUACCUCGAGCUCACUCGGCUCUUCAUCAAACCCCUUAAACUCUCUGCUCAUCAUUUCGCCUAUCUCUGCCAAGCAGAGGCCAAAAGCCGCCGCUUCCUUGAGGAAGAUUGUGCACAGGACCAGAACCUUAAGGCAGGCUUCACGAAUCAUCGGCAAUUCCCUUCUAAGCAUUUCACAAUCACUGGUAGGGUCGAGCCUGUCAAUGUAGUCGAGCUCAUCAUCGGAAAAGGGGAUCGACGACUGUGGCCAGUGGAUCCACUCAAAGUACGGAUCCUCCAAGCUCUCAGGGAGGCAGAGGCCGUGAUCGAUAGGGAUCAGUUCUGUCUGGCCCCCGAAUCUGCCAGCCGCACCAUCAAAUUUCCUAACUAGGAGAUUUCCAGCAUGUCUAUCCGUAUUGAAGAUUCUGACAUCAAGUAUGCCGAUCCUAUGGACAGCGGCGACAGGGAAGCUUGAUGUGCCAUGAUCACUAGCGUCAAAAUCAUGAGGUAUAAACUGCUGGAAAGAAGCAAUCUUGCUGGUCACCUCGUGUUUCCUGUCGCAGCCCCUGGGGUUAUUACUAUUUACACCAUCAUUCACAUGGAAUACCGAGUGGGUAAUCUUGACCAGGGCCGUGGGAGGGACGUUAGCAAAGUGAUCGUAGUCCAGCAGGUAUGCAGCUACCUCUCUGAAGCCAGUCUCGCCGACGCGCACGGACCUUUUCAGACCCGGCUGUCCCAGGGCUUUCCCAACAAAGCCUUUCGGAUUGUUCGGUGCGAAUGGCUCUUCAUCAGUUGGCUUCACGAUGGCAACAUUGUCGCCUUUACUGUUUCUAAAGUAGUAUGCUCCCCCAAGUCCGCUAUGAACAGGUAUCGGCUCCACCCCACCUUUGAUAGCCUUCACGACAUCCUUGACAAGCUGCUCUAACCGAGCACAUCGGCUAGAACAGCCCAGUAUCUCAACAAUACCGCUCUGAUCCUUUUGCUCGGAAUCCCUCGGACGAAAGCAUGGAGUGGAGGUGCUCCUAUGCAUCGAGUUCCUCGUGAGAAGCAAUGGGGCGUGACCCCUGAUAAUACUCAAAUCAUUCUUCAGCACGAGAUCACCAAACACGAGGGAGCUCUCAUCUGUAGGAACAUUCAGGGCUAACUGAAGUCUCCUCUUGACCGUAUGGGCGUUGUCCCCGCGGUCCAAUUCCAUGUCCAGGACACAGCCUGUCUCGGUCUGUACAAACACCCGUCUCCGACCCACCGGCUUCCCCUCACCUUUCUUGGUGCCGCCAUUGAGCUCGCCGCCAGGGUUAGGGUUUCGGUUAAGGACUGCCACCGCCAUCUGCGUCUUAACAGGGCUGUCCAAGUUUGGCGACAUGGAACGAGGAGACCCGUCGGGCGAGGCUGUCGAGAGCGGGGACAGCCACCGGAUGGAGAGCCUUCCGCCUCUUCUUAAUGCGGGCGCCAAACACGGAGUCUGACGCGGUUAAGGAGAGCGGAAGGCGGUACCCACUAACAAUCAUGAAUCAGGGGUAGCAACAGUCACACGCCUCACACCACCGGGAGAAAAAGGGGCAACUGACUGGAGCGGAGGCGAAGAUCACAACUCCUCUCAAGCCAUCUAGUCAGUGUGCCGACGAAACCAUCGUAACCAGAAACCUACAAGGAAAAAAAGAAACAGUGAGUUCAAGAUCUCGCAUUUCCUUCACCAAGAUUUAAGAUCCGCAGUGCGAAAAAAGAAACUUUGCACAGGAAACAUCUUAUGAACUACCGUAAAUCUAGAUUGUUUAGCAUUUCAUUAAUCAAAAUCAAUGGUAUGGACAUAGGGUGGGUGGUCUAGGCUCAACACAGCAACACCCAUGAUGGUUUUUUACUAUUAAGCUUUACAGAAACAAAACCACAAAGUAAGUAACUGAAGAUAUAACAAAAGAACUAAGAGGAAAGAGAAAACUAGGGUUUUGGAACCCUAAACACUAAACUAGGGUUUUGGAACCAAUUUACUACAUGUAAGGGCAUAAUAAAUAAGGCCAAAAGAAGUGAGAAACUUAAAAACCCAUAAGAGUUUCAAAAUAUUUAAUUUCAACUUGAAAAAAGGCAACUUUUUAAUGCAUCAAAAAGCUUCGAUUCGAUGAAUCGAGAAAAUUAGUGGUUCAGUUCUCAAAUCUUAAAAGAAAUUUACGUAUAGAUUAUUACAACCCCACACUGAAACUCUACUAGGAAUAAAUAACUAAAUAAAUAAACAAAAAGGGGGGAAAAUAUAGGGGGAAAAAAUAACCACAAAUUCAUGUAAACAACAAGUUAUCAUGGAACAAUCAACUAAAUAACGAAACUAUCCACUCGUAAAGUAAUAGAUCUAAUUCCUAUAUAUACAUAUAUGCACAAAAUUUCCUCCAAAAUGGCUAAUUGAUCCAAAAAAAUUUAUAAAAAUAGGAUUAAUGAUUUGAAAAAUCGGAAGCUACCUAAAUAAUAUAACAUCAAAACGUGAUACGCACAGUUAAUUUCUUUAAAAAAAAAAGAAUCUUUUUGAUAAUAAUUGUAAACAUUAAAAUAAGAGUAAAAAGGGGGAAAGUUAUAAGAGGAAAGAUUCCCACUUCUACGUGAAAACAAUUAAAUCAUUACAGAAAAUUUAAACGGAAUAAAUAUACUCCUACCGACCAAAAAAUAGAUCAAAUUUCAUACUAUUUCGGGUAAAAACCCCAACUAGAUAACUCCAAUUCGACUCAAACCACUAAACUUCACCAAAAUUUCCAACAAAAUCCACAUAUGAGCUGAAUCAAAACACGACCAAAUCCACAAAUCCGAACAAAACCGACACCAAAUCCACAAAACCCUAAAAUCCACAGUUGCAUAGAACCAAGAAAAGCAAACCAAACCCGCGAAUCUCUACACGGUCGAGAAUCCAAACUCACCGGGGAGCCGAGUUCCGGCGGGAGACAGCGCCGGGACCGACCGGGAGACCCACGGCCGUCCGAUCCGCCGCCGCGACGGGAAUGGACGGCCGGGAUCCGAUCAGGGGACAGCCGAUCCGACGGCGGAGAGAUCGCCGGAGCGGCGGCGGCGGCGACGAGAUCCAAACCCCACCACCCCCACCACCACCACCACCACCAAAACCCUAAUCUCUCUCUCUCUCUCUCUCUCUCUCUCUAACCCGCUCGUAGUAUCGGGAGAAGAGGGGGUGGGGUUAAAACACUAACCAUGGUUAGAUCACGAAAAGGCUCAGCGUGCGUAUCCCCAGAAUAAUUAAUUAUGCGGACAACACGAUCCGCCGUUCAUUUUCCGCAUCAGCAGCGUUUGAACGGGUGGGAUUAAACUCACCGCGGGAGGGUUUUAUGCGGUUGUGGGGUUACAUGGGAUUCGAUUAGUUUCCGGGUCAGCUCGCGUGGAAGGGUCUAGAAGAAGCUUCUCGGCCGUCGGAUGGGCGGGUCGGAUGAUCAGAGCCGUUGGAUUUGUAGGGUGACGUGGAAGAGCGCGAUUGGAUAAGAUGGGGGGCGGCCAUUGGGCGUUCGUUCCUCUCAAAAAAAAAAUUUAUUUUCACAAAUAGCAAUACUAAUUUUAUAAUUAUAAUUUUGUUCCUAUUUUCGCCGUACAUGCGACACAUUAGCACCACGCGAGUAGAGAUAGUGGAUGUAGAAUAAGUUGAACACAGUGAAUAAUUUAUCGUAUUUAGUGUAUAUUAUAUUACUUGCGCGUGGGGUCAAUGUAUUCACUGAACACGAUGAAUGGAUUAUCGUUUUCAACUUAUUCCACAUCCUACAUUCCUGCUCGUAUGGCGCUGACGUAACGCCUGCGUGGCACAGAUAGGGCAAAAAUUAUAAUUAUAAAAUUAGUGAGGCAAUUUGUGAAAAAAAAACUUUUUUGAGAGGGUGAAAUGCAAAAAACGCCCAAUACUUAUAUAUAUAUAUAUAUAUAUAUAUAUAUACAAAAAACGCCCAAUACUUAUAUANAUAUACAUACAUAUAUACAUAUAUAUAUAUAUAUAUAUAUACAUAUAUAUAUUUCUCUCCUUUUUAGGCCGGCUAAAAUACAGAAAAAUUCUAUAAAAAUAUUUUUGGAAGAUUAUGAUUUUAAUGAAGAGAAUGAAAUAAGCAAACUAUUCUCAUUUGUUCUAGAAGAAAAAUAAAUUAAUAUAUUUUUAUCGGGCUUUUUUUGCAAAUAGCCCCCUAACAAUUUUUUAUUUUUUAAAUUAGUCAUGUCAAAAAUUUAUUUACAAAAAUGGCCUUGAUCCUGCCACGCAAGCGCCACGUCAUGGCCACGCGGGCGGAGCUGGGGCCAGGUGUUUAAGUUGAACACGGUGAAUCAUUCACCGUGUUCAAUGUAUUAUACACACCCAAGUCAGGAUGUGAAUAAUACAUUGGACACGGUGAUUAGUUCACCGCAUCUAAACACGGUAUACUAUUCACCGUGUAUUGGACACGGUGAACUAUUUACCGUGUCCAAUACAAAAUACCCGACCAAAAAUGACUACGUGAGUUAUUUGUAUUGAACACGGUGAAUGGUUCACCGUGUCUAAACACGGUGAACAGUUCACCGUGUCCAAUACAACUAACCAGACUUAGCCAUUUUUUUGGCGCAAAUUAUUUUGGCGCAAAAAAUCAAAUCAAUACACAUCACAACAUCGCCAUAUUUUUUGCGCAAAAAAUCAAAUCAAUGCACAUCACAACGUCACAACACAACAAUACAAUACAGAUACUUAAACGCAACAGUACAAUACAAUAUCACAGCAUCACAAUACAACAGUACAAUAUACAUAUCACUACCAACAGAAUCUCAAUAAAGUAUAAAUACCAGAUAAUCACAACAGAAUAUCCAAAAUUAAAACAAGUUUUACAAUAUGCAAAUAUAAUAUCAUGCUCUCAUCCUACUCCAUCGACCACGUCGCCUACCACGUCCGCGACCACGAUCAACACCAUGCUCAUCAAAAGGCUUCAAGAUCUCCAACUGGUCCAGAUGCUCGAUAGCAGCACCCUCAAUAACCGGCUCAAUCACAGCAGUAGCAGGUAUCGGUAGUAUGUCUGGCCGUGGAGGAGCUGAAGAGGAGAGCUGAUCUGUACGGUUAGACUGCAUAUGUUGUCGGCGCCUAUAAUAAACAAUAUCAACUGCUCCAGGUGGAUCCUGUGGUACUGGUGCUGGUGCCGGAUCCAUAACAUCAGCAUAAGGUGGCUCCUCUAUCGGUGAUGAUGGCCUCGGUGGACUAUAUACUGGUGUAUGGCUGAACGUCGAUGCUCCACCAUAGUCUGCUAGUCGUGGAGGUACAGUGUGUGCAAGCGUAGGUAAAGUCUCCAAAACUGCUUCCAUCUUAUCAGCAACAUGUGAUAGGACGUCUAAUACUCCACCUCCUGGAAUAUCUGGUAGGACACAUCUAAUACUCCACCUUCUGGAAUAUCUGGUACUCCACCUCUUGGAAUAUCUGAUGUAGAACUGCUUCCAUUGAUAAUCACUUGGUAUUGAUCAUCACCGCCAGUAAGUAUGUCGAACUCGUGAAAUUAUCGUCGAACUGUAUAUACUCUAGCACUUCUCAUCCGGCUAUUGAUGGUGUUUUCAACAGUCGACACAAAUUGCGUAGACAUUACAGCGCCCUCCGCCCAAUGUUUUAGAAAAAAUUCUACCACUCGAUGAAAUGUUGCCAUCACAAAAGCUGUAAUUGGUAAGGUGCGAACUCCCCUCAACACCCCAUUUAAACUUUCCGAUCGGUUAGUUGUCAUAAUACCAAAUCGUCGACCACCAUCAAAAGCUUUAGUCCAGUAUGUCCUAUCGUUAUGAAGAUUGUCAACCCAAAGCCGAGCUUCUUCAUCCAUAACCUUCAAUUCUUCCUUUAAUGCGUAAUAUUGUCGUUCUUCUGAAGCAUUCCCAAUUCGAUAAAAUAUUUUAAGUAAGUAUUUUGCUUUGAAAUGAAUAUUCAUAUUGGCCUUCAUAUGUCGCAAACACCAUCGAUGAGCAUGACCUUUAGAUGGUGGGAAUACAAGUGCAACGAGGUUCACUAGCCCUUUAAAACGAUCUGAAAUUAGUGUAAUAACUCGAGAUCUUGUUAUAUACCUUCUUAGGCAACUUAAAAACCACUCCCAACUCGACCAUUCUCCCCCUCACAAAUUGCGAAAGCUAGCGGAAAUAAACCACCAUUGGCAUCGACACCUGUGGCAAUUAAUGCGUGGCCUCUAUAUUUUUUAUACAAAUAGGUAGCAUCGAUACUAAGUAAUGGCUGGCAAUACUCCCAACCAUGAAUCGAUGGUGCAAAAGCCCAAAAGGCUCGUGAAAACAUUCUAGUAUUGCUCGUCACACUAAUAAAAUCAAUCUUCGUAAUAGUUCCAGGAUUUAUUGAUUCCGACAUAGAGAAGUAUCGAGGAAGAUCGCAGUAUGAUUGCUCCCAACUACCGUAUAUAAUUUGUAGUGCUUUAUUCUGUGCCCGCCAAGCCUUGCUAUAUGAUAUGCUAACGUGUAACUCACUCUGAACUCAAGCUUGAAUUUCCAUAGGACUCAUAGUAAGCCUUGCUUUCAGGUAAUAUAAAUUGACAUAUGAAUGAUGAUGUACAGUUGCGAUGUCUUGUAUUCAGAAUUGGAAGCAAACAUGUGUGCGGACCUUUAUAAGUCUUUACUUUAAAAAAUGAACUACCUUUCGGUUGAGAGGCAUGUAAUCGCGUCGGACCGCAACCAAUUCUUUACGGCCACCAAUAUAUCGUGGUACAUUAUUGUUCUCGACAAAAUUUUCAUCCUAAUGGAUACAGAAAAGAACACAGUCGCCAGAUAUAGAGUUCUAAAGUAAUAUAAUAAAAUUUACAAAAAUAUUAAACUCAAGACAUACCACAUUUCUAGGAUACAACAAAAGAGAGGGUAAGAGAUGGUAUUACCAUUGUACAAGCACGGUCGGCGCGACUACUUUGCAAAUUAAGAGCUAAGGACUGACCUGUGACAAAGACAACGAGAACAAUCAGUGAGAGAUAGAGAUAGAGAGAGAAAGAGAGAGAGAGAGAAAUGUGGGGGGUUUAGAUGCCUCUGUGAGGGGGGGUGNNNNNNNNNNNNNNNNNNNNNNNNNAGAUUUCAGAUAUCGACCAACAAAUCUUUGUCACUUACGCUAAAAAAAUUGCGCGUUAAAUAUUUAUGUAGAUUAUUAAACUGACAUUUAUAUACUUUAGUUUUAUUGAAUGGGAAUUUGAAGUCUUUUGGCCGCCGGGCAGGCGGGGCGAUGGGGCAGGGCGCGAGCGGGCCAAGCGGCGCGGGCAGGCGCUGCGUUGCGGCGUCGGGUGCGGGUGGGCGCGCAGUUGCGUGGUAGGUGGCGCGGUCUGGUGGUGGGGCGGGCAAGCCGGCACGGGCAGGGGCCCGGACUCGAGCCUGCACGGGCUUUUUUUUUUUUUUUUUUUUUUUGCCUUUUUGCUGCUGGGACCCUCUCCUAUCUCUCUCUCUCGUCUCUCUCUUUCUACACUUCUUAUUUUAUUAUGGUAUUUAUUGAAAACAUACAAAAAAUAAAUUUAAAAAUUAAAAUUAAAAUUAAAAUUAAAUAAAUUUGAUGGCUGUGGUUGAAUAUAGUUAGACAUAAAUAUAUAUAUUUUUACCAGUUUUAUAGUAAUUAUAAUAAACACAAAAUUAUGAAUUUAGAAAUCUCAAGAAGUAGAGAUGUCGAUGGGUAUAGAUACAUAUGUCGAUGGGUAUAGCACGGGUUUUUUUUUUUUGAGAGAGCAGUAGGUAGCACGCUAUCCGUUUCGUUUAUUUAAUUUAGAAAUAAACUUAGCUAGAAAUGUGAAUCAAUUAGGAUUCGAACUUAGGUCUCAGGUAUCAACCAUCAAACUCUUUGCCACUUGUUCUAGAAACGAUCCGUGUAGCACGGAUUUCUUAACUAGUAUAUAUAUAUUUCUCUCCAUUUUAGGCCAGCUAAAUUACAGAAAAAUUCUAUAAAAAUAUUUUUGGAGGAUUAUGAUUUGAAUGGAGAGGAUGAAAUAAGCAAACUAUUCUUAUCUAUUCUAUAAGAAAAAUAAAUUAAUAUAUUUUUAUCGGGCUUUUUUUGCAAAUAGCCCCCUGAUAAUUUUUUUUUUAUAAAUUAGUCCUGUCAAAAAUUUAUUUACAAAAAUAGCCCUGAUCCUGCCACGCAAGCGCCACGUCAGCGCCACGCGGGCGGGGCUGGGGCCAGAUGUUUAAGUUGAACACGGUGAACCAUUCUCCGUGUUCAAAUACGGUGAAUGGUUUACCGUGUUCAAUAUAUCAUACACACCCAAGUCAGGGUGUGAAUAAUACAUUAGACACAGUGAUUAGUUCACCGUAUCUAAACACGAUGAACUAUUCACCGUGUAUUGGACACGGUGAACUAUUCACCAUGUCCAAUACAAAUACCCAACCAAAAAUGACUACGUGAGUUAUUUGUAUUGGACACGGUGAAUGGUUCACCGUGUCUAAACACGGUGAACAGUUCACCGUAUCCAAUACAACUAACCAGACUUAGCCAUUUUUUUGGCGUAAAAAAUCAAAUCAAUACACAUCACAACAUCGCCAUAUUUUUUGCGCAAAAAAUCAAAUCAAUGCACAUCACAACAUCACAACACAACAAUACAAUAUAGAUACCUAAACGCAACAGUACAUUACAACAUCACAGCAUCACAAUACAAUAGUACAAUAUACACAUCACUACCAAUAGAAUCUCAAUAAAGUAUCAAUACCAGAUAAUCACAACAGAAUAUCCAAAAUUAAAGCAAAUUUUACAAUAAUAUACAAAUAUAAUAUCAUGCUCUCCUCCUACUCCAUCGACCACGUCGCCUACCACGUUCGCGACCACGAUCAACACCAUGCUCAUCAAAAGGCUCUAAGAUCUCCAACUGGUCCAGAUGCUCGAUAGCAGCACCCUCAAUAACCGGCUCAAUCACAGCAGUAGCAGGUAUCGGUAGUAUAUCUGGCAGUGGAGGAGCUGAAGAGGAGGGCUGAUCUGUACGGUUAGACUGCAUAUGUCGUCAGCGCCUAUAAUAAACAAUAUCAACUACUCGAGAUGGAUCCUGUGGUACUGGUGCUGGUGUCGGAUCCAUAACAUCAGCAUAAGGUGGCUCCUCUAUCGGUGAUGAUGGCCUCGGUGGACUAUAUACUGGUGUAUGGCGGAACGUCGAUGCUCCACCAUAGUCUGUUGGUCGUGGAGGUACAGUGUGUGCAAGCGUAGGUAAAGUCUCCAAAAUUGCUUCCAUUUGAUCGGCAACAUGUGAUAGGACAUCUAAUACUCCACCUCCUGGAAUAUCUGAUAGGACACGUCUAAUACUCCACCUUCUGGAAUAUUUGGUACUCCACCUCCUGGAAUAUCUGAUGUAGAACUGCUUCUAUUGAUAAUCACUUCGUAUUGAUCAUCACCGCCAGUAAGUAUGUCGAACUCGUGAAAUUAUCGUCGAACUGUAUAUACUCUAGCACUUCUCAUCCGGCUAUUGAUGGUGUUUUCAACAGUCGAUACAAAUUGUGUAGACAUUACAGCGCCCUCCGCCCAAUGUUUUAGAAAAAAUUCUACCACUUGAUGAAAUGUUGCUAUCACAAAAACUGUAAUUGGUAAGGCGCGAACUUCCCUCAACACCCUAUUUAAACUUUCCAAUCGGUUAGUUGUCAUAAUACCAAAUCGUCGACCACCAUCAAAAGCUUUAGUCCAGUAUGGCCUAUCGUUAUGAAAAUUGUCAACCCAAAGCCAAGCUUCUUCAUCCAUAGCCUUCAAUUCUUCCUUUAAUGCAUAAUAUUGUCGUUCUUCUAAAGCAUUCCCAAUUCGAUAAAAUAUUUUAAGUAAGUGUUUUGCUUUAAAAUGAAUAUUCAUAUUGGCCUUCACAUGUCGCAAACACCAUCGAUGAGCAUGACCUUCAGAUGGUGGGAAUACAAGUGCAACGAGAUUCGCUAGCCCUUUAAAACGAUCUGAAAUUAAUGUAAUAACUCGAGAUCUUGUUAUACACCUUCUUAGGCAACUUAAAAAUCACUCCCAAUUCGAGCCAUUCUCCCCCUCACAAAUUGCGAAAGCUAGCGAAAAUAAACCACCAUUGGCAUCGACACCUGUGGCAAUUAAUGCGUGGCCUCCAUAUUUUCCAUACAAAUAGGUAGCAUCGAUACUAAGUAAUGACCGGCAAUACUCUCAACCAUGAAUCGACGGUCCAAAAGCCCAAAAGGCUUGUGAAAACAUUCUAGUAUUGCUCGUCACACUAAUAAAAUCAAUCGUCGUAAUAGUUCCAGGAUUUGUUGAUUCCAAUAUAGAGAAGUAUCGAGCAAGAUCGCAGUAUGAUUGCUCCCAACUACCGUAUAUAAUUUGUGCUUUAUUCUGUGCCCGCCAAGCCUUACUAUAUGAUAUGCUAAUGUGUAACUCACUCUGAACUCGAGCUUGAAUUUCCAUAGGACUCAUAGUAAGCCUUGCCUUCAGUGUAGGUAGUAUAAAUUGACAUAUGAAUGAUGAUGUACAGUUGCGAUGUCUUGUAUUCAGAAUUGGAAGCAAACAUGUGUGCGGACCUUUACAAGUCUUUACUUUAAAAAAUAAACUAUCUUUCGGUUGAGAGACAUGUAAUCACGUCGGACCGCAACCAAUUCUUUACGGCCACCAAUAUAUCGUGGUACAUUAUUGUUCUCGACAAAAUUUUUAUCCUAAUGGAUACAGAAAGGAACACAGUCGCCAGACAUAGAGUUCUAAAGUAAUAUAAUAAAAUGUACAAAAAUAUUAAACUCAAGACAUACCACAUUUCUAGCAUACAACAAAAGAAAGGGUAAGAGAUGGUAUUACCAUUGUACAAGCACGGUCGACGUGUCUACUUUGCAAAUUUAGAGCUAAGGACUGACCUGUGACAAAGACAACGAGAACAAUCAGUGAGAGAUAGAGAUAGAGAGAGAGAGAGAGAGAGAGAGAGAGAGAGAGAUUCUAUCUCGCUCUUUCCUCUUGCUCUCUCUCUCUGGCAGACGCCGACGCUGAUGGCGCGCCUCCGCCGACGCCGCCGCCUCCGCCGACGCCGCCGCCACUCUUUGUCGCCCGAGGUGUUUCCUCUCCCUCAUUCUCUCUCUAGCCCUAGAAGCCCCACCUCUCUCUCUUUCUCUUCUCUCCUCUCUCUCCUCUGGCCACACCCGCCGCCGGCGACACCGGCGCGCCCUCACCCGGCGAGAACACCCCCCCACCCCUCUUGCUCUUUCUAACUCUCUUUCUUCCUCUCACUCUCACUGUUGUCAAAAUUACUUAGGAUCAAUUAUAAAAUAAAAUAAGUUAAAUAGAGAAUAUCUUUUUAUAAAUACUCAUUUUUUCACUUUUCUUACCUUAUUUCAAAAAUUUUUAUCUUACCCCUUCCAAAUUUCAAGUUAAUGUAAUUAAUCAGCUCUUUUCCGUCAAGAUUUCAUCAUAUUCCAUCAGGAUUCUAUCACUUAAAAAUGAUAAAAAUGGGUUUUUUUUGCAAAUAGCUCCCUGCAAUUUUUUUUUUAAAUUAGCCCUGUCAAAAAUUUAUUUGCAAAAAUGGCCCUGACCCUGCCACGCAAGCAUCACGUCAACGCUAUGCGUGGGGCUGGGGCCAGGUGUUUAAGUUGAACACGGUGAACCAUUCACCGUGUUCAAACACGGUGAAUGAUUCACCAUGUCCAAUGUAUUACACACUGUGUAUUACAUUGGACACGGUAAAUGGUUCACCGUGUCUAAAUACGGUGAACCAAUCACUGAUNNNNNNNNNNNNNNNNNNNNNNNNNNNNNNNNNNNNNNNNNNNNNNNNNNNNNNNNNNNNNNNNNNNNNNNNNNNNNNNNNNNNNNNNNNNNNNNNNNNNNNNNNNNNNNNNNNNNNNNNNNNNNNNNNNNNNNNNNNNNNNNNNNNNNNNNNNNNNNNNNNNNNNNNNNNNNNNNNNNNNNNNNNNNNNNNNNNNNNNNNNNNNNNNNNNNNNNNNNNNNNNNNNNNNNNNNNNNNNNNNNNNNNNNNNNNNNNNNNNNNNNNNNNNNNNNNNNNNNNNNNNNNNNNNNNNNNNNNNNNNNNNNNNNNNNNNNNNNNNNNNNNNNNNNNNNNNNNNNNNNNNNNNNNNNNNNNNNNNNNNNNNNNNNNNNNNNNNNNNNNNNNNNNNNNNNNNNNNNNNNNNNNNNNNNNNNNNNNNNNNNNNNNNNNNNNNNNNNNNNNNNNNNNNNNNNNNNNNNNNNNNNNNNNNNNNNNNNNNNNNNNNNNNNNNNNNNNNNNNNNNNNNNNNNNNNNNNNNNNNNNNNNNNNNNNNNNNNNNNNNNNNNNNNNNNNNNNNNNNNNNNNNNNNNNNNNNNNNNNNNNNNNNNNNNNNNNNNNNNNNNNNNNNNNNNNNNNNNNNNNNNNNNNGAGAGAGAGUUGGGGAGAAGAGGAAGACAGCUCGGGGGCGGGGGGGGGGGUUAUUCAAAGAGGACACGGUGAACCAUUCACCUUGUCCAAUGUGUAUACCCGGGGUACUUAGUAUUUGUAUACUUAGCCAUUGUUUGGCUAAGUCCGAGGUACUUAGCCAUUGUUUGGCUAAGUCAAGUAUUUGUAUGUGACUGGACACAGUGACUGGUUUACCGUGUUUAGACACGGUGAACCAUUCACCGUGUCCAAUGUAAUACACAGUGUGUAAUACAUUGGACACGGUGAACUAUUCACUGUGUUUGAACACGUUGAAUGGUUCACCGUGUUCAACUUAAACACCUGGCCCCAACCCCGCCUGCAUGGCGUUGACGUGGCGCUUGCGUGGCAGGACUAGGGCCAUUUUUACAAAUAAAUUUUUGACAGUGUUAAUUUUUUUAAAAAAAUUUGUCAGGGGGCUAUUUGCAAAAAAAAACCCAUUUUUAUCAUUUUUAAGUGAUAGAAUCCCAACAGAAUAUUAUGAAAUCUUGACGGAAAAGAGCUGAUUAAUUACAUUAACUUGAAAUUUUGAAGGGGUAAGAUAUAAAUUUUUGAAAAUAAGGUAAGAAAAGUGAAAAAAUGAAUAUUUAUAAAAAGAUAUUCUCUAUUUUAACUUAUUUUAUUUUAUAAUUGAUCCUAAGUAAUUUUGACAACACUGACCAAAAGGUGACCAACGUAUUAGUGUACAUAAACACAAUAAUUUUUUGUGUUCAUGUAAAAUAUUUAGUCGACUCUCUGUUAUCCCGCGUGAUGCUCAUGUGGACAAUAUGAAAUUAUUUCUAUAUUAAAAAAUUUUGUAUGGUCAAACUAUACCUAUACAUUAUUCCUCCUAAAUUUGUCACGUGGCAAUGCUCUGUUAAUUAUUGAAUGUGGGCUCCACCCACGGCUGGCUCAUGUCCUUCACAUAUUUUUUUUCUUUGUUUGCUUGAAUCGAUUAGGGUUUCUUUCUUUACUUGAACCGAACUGAUCAUUGUUGAGUAUGGGCUCCACUUGUGCUCCACCACGAAUUGGCUUAAGUUCUCCACAUUUUUCUUUGUUUGAACCAAAUUGGAUUUUCCUCUUUGUUUGCUUAAACCAAAUCGGGUCAACCUGUUGCAUUAGGCCGAACCGGUCCAACUGUUCCACAUAUUACUAUCUUUGAACCGAAUUUUUUUCUUUCUUUGCUUGAACUGAAUCGAUCACUGUUGAGUGUGGCCUCCAUCCCGAACUAGCUCAAAUUUUUCUUUUUCUUUGCUUGAAUCAACUAGACUUUCCCUUUUUUUUUUUUUCCUGGAGCUAAAUCGGAUCACACCUCUACAUUGGGCUAAACUAUUCCUCUUUCCCUUCUUUCAGUUGUUAUCUUCUUUCAUCGGCAAGAUGAAUCUCACCCCUCACCAUCGUUUCUUCGAUCGCCAUUUCCUCUUCCUUUGUUAGUGUUUUCUAUUUUCCUCCAAUUAUCUACUUGUUGCAUCGCACGAGUCACCACACUAGUUAUAUAAUGAAAAUUUCAAUAGUACUAAAUACUAACAAAAAAUCAAAACAAAUUCCCUACAAACGUUUGUAACGUUCUAUGUACAAUUGAGUUUGGUCCCAAUCAUUGUUCAUUUUUUUUUUAUCUUGGUCUCGAAUCUUUUUUAUUCGCAAUUAGAUCCUUAAUUGUUACGCUUAAUAGUAUUAUUGGUUCCUAACCUUUACCGGCUUUUUUUUUUAUUUUGAUCACUAAUAAUCUUUUCUCUCAUAUGUGCAUCCAUCAGAUGAAAGUCUAAUCUUCGCAUUCUCAAUAUUGUCCUUUAUACCUACGAAAACUUUGAAACUGGCAGGCGAUACAAAACGUCUCAUUUUGGAAUCUCAUUUGAGAGUAAAGAUGCAUACGGGGUGGCCGGGAGCAAGAAGUGUCCUCCACCUCCUGCUCCAUUUCUUGUCUGGUCAGGGUAGAUUCGGAAUAGGUUGAUUUUUAUCCUUUUUUUUGAGAGUGAUAGGUAGCACACUACAUGUUUCGUUUAUUUCAUUUAGAAAUAAACUUAGCUGGAAAUGUGAAUCAACUAGGAUUCGAACUUGGGUCUCGGGUACCAACCACCAAGCCCUUUGCCACUUGCUCUAGGGACGGUCGGUAAUUUUUAUCAUAUUUUUAACCCCCACUUAAUACUCCAUUUGAGGCGGAUCGAAGCGGGAGCAGAUUUUUGAUGGAUCGGAAAGGAUCGAAGGAAGAAAAGGGUCACCAGCCUCCCGUUCUAUUUACUUGGCGCAUCAAGGCGGAUUUGGGACGAAUUACAUUUUUCUAUAUUUUUUGUUCCCACUUACCACCCAAUUCAGAGAGGAUUGGGGUGAAUUCACUUGCAUUCCUAUUUGGGAGGAAGUUUGCUAUGCAACAGCUACACUACAUAAUCUAAGUCCAGGCAAUCAUAUUCUCUUUUUGAGAGAAAAGUAUAAUAAAAAUAUUGUUUUCAAAAAUCAUGAUAGGAUGAGUAAAUCAUAAGAGACAAAUAUGAUUGGUUAGAGACACCACAUCAUCCACGUGGCUGCUAUAUUUUUAAACUUUUUCUUCUUUCGGAGCAUCUACCGUCUUAAUUUUGACCGCAAUGUGCCACCAAGCUCUGUCAAAUAUUCAAAAAAAAAAAAAAAAGUAAACUUCACUCAUGUUCAUUUUGUUAUCCUAUGAUUCAAAAGUUACACUUAACUAUUUUGCGGUUUAAUAUAUUUUCACUUUGUCACUCUGUGACUCAAAAUGUUACACUUAACUUUCUUAUGAUUUUACUUUUGUUUUAUUGUAAGGACAUAUCAUUAAAUUGGAUAUCAUUCUAUGGUUUUUUAAAAGAAAACUUUAUUUUACUGUUGUAUUUGACGGUAGGGUUUUUUUUCGGUGAAAUAAAAGUAAAUCACAAAAAUAUUUAUAAUUUUUUAAACUGUAGAGUGACAAAGUUAAAAUAUGCUAAAUCAUAGAAUUAAACCAAGCCAUUUACUACUGAUAAUUUUUUAAUAAGAGAGCGAGAGAGAAAGAAAUGCCACUUAUACAUUCAAAGUGGAGCAGAAAUCUAGCAUCUACCCAUCCAAGUGUUUAGACUUUAGACUAAUAUGAAAAUGCAAAAAAAGAAAAAAAAGAGAAAAAAAAAAGACUUUUUGAGCAAACAGAUAGCCAUUUAAAAAAAAAAGAAAAAGAAAAAGCAGCAGCUUAGAAAAUAAAGUGUUUAAGUGAAAAUUCAGUGGCCAAAAUAGCAAUAUGGGAAUAGUGCAUGGGUUAUCCAUACAUUUUACACACUGCAGAAAUUUCUAAAAUUAUGCAUAUUUUUUAAGAAUUGAGCUGGAAUACUAUUAAUGAUAUUUAGACUCUUUUGCUAUUGAAUUUGUAGUUUUUGGACGAAAAAUUAUAGAAGUAAAAUGAUAGUGGUCUUCUAGGACUUAGUUGUGGUUAGUUGAAUAGUAUGAUCUAAAGAAUGGAAUUGAUUAAAGUGUAAAUCUAACGGCUGAAAAAUCAAUAGCAAAAGAGUCCAAAUACUAUUAAUGGUAUUCCAGCUCAACUCUGUUUUCACUAAAUUAAUUAAUCUCACUGAUAGUAUGGUUUUCUCUGUACCUUCACUCUAUCUAAUCGAAUCUUUGAAAUAAGCUGCAUAAGAACCAAAAAUAAAUAAAUAAAAUAUUCAUAAGAAAAAGCAUCUUUCAUUCUCUAAGAACAGACUAGGAACCUAAAAAAUUGAGAAAAAAUGGUGGGUGAAAUAAGAAGUAUGGGUUGUUUUAGGUUUGAAGGCGAGAAUUUAUCGGCUCUCUUGUCUUAUUAUUUAGCUAGUAGUGACAAUUAUGAAAAAUUCUAACUUCGUACUUUGACUGCAAAAUAAAGUUGUUUAGUAAAUGAGAAAUGCUUGGGGUAGCCCAUUUUUGGAUAUCCUAUAAUGUUGCUGACGUGUUGGCAUACACAUGUGGAUGAAUUAAGGUUUAGGGUUUAGAGUGCAAUAGAGUAGCUAUUAACCUAUAAGAAUUUUCAAUAUUUUUGUCAUGCGGCAAGUUUUCCUUCACCCUCACUAACCCUUUCUUUGAACUGAUCUUUGCUCUUGGCUUUUCCCCUCCUCUCCUCUCUAUUCAAUGACCUGUAAUCAAUGUGCUUUUUAAUUUAUACGUUCCUGAUUUUUUUCUCUUCAAUAUUAGUCUUUUCUUCUCUCCCAAAUAAUUCUUGACCUACAAAAUUAAAAGAAGAGAAGAUGAAUAGUUACUACUUUCAGAUUUAGAGAUUGGGAAAGAGUAAGGGAGUCCUACAAGCCCUAAUCUGUACUAGCCCAACUCGACCCGACCGUCCCUGAUCAAGAGAGUGCUUCUAGGGUUUAGAUCAAUGUCGAUCUCUUCGGAUUUAUGGAAAAAAAAAAAAAAGGGUAAUCGAACGGCUUUUUCAGUAGAUGAAGGUAAUUGGAGAGUGAUAAUGUAUGGAUCGAGGGUAGGUUUGGGAAACAAAAACCCUAAAUCUUUUUUUUUCUUUAUUUUAAUCUCCAAUUCUUACUAUGUAUCCAUUUAGGAUUUAAUUAUUUACAUUAUUUUUUAUAUGGUGGUUGUAUCAAUCAAGGAUUUGAUUUAUGUGCAUUAUUUUGAUUAAUUUAGAGGUUAGUUUUGAUUUCAUAAUUGAUGUGGUAGUUUUGGCCCACAACUUCUGACCAUUCUAUGUCCAAAAAGGUGCAAAAUUCUGCAAACUUCCAUAAGGUUUUCACCGACAUCGUCGUCAUCAUUGCAACAUUAUCAUCUCCAUCUUUAUACGACCUUUGCAGGUUUUCCUUUUGACUGGUGAUUCUAGACAAUUAUCUGUUUUGAAUGGUCAUAUUACAUUUCAGUAAAAAAAAAAAAAAAAAAACACACUUGAAUUUUUAUUUUUCAAAAUCCUUUAAUCUUCUUCUUCAAUAUUUUCUAUUUUUUCUUCUAUUAUCUAUCCUCCGCAUCACGCGGGUUACUACACUAGUAAUAAUGAUAUUGUCAUGUCAUCAAUAGUAGCAGUGUAGGGUACACUUGGGAGUACCUACGGCAACACUCUUAGGCUUCAUUUGAUUCAGAUAUAAGUAAGAGCUUUUUUGCUAUCAAAAUUUUACCUUUUGGAUGAAAAAUUAUAGAAUUAAGAUGAUAGUGGUCCUCUAGGGUUUAGUGGUGGUUGGUUGAAUAGUAUGAUCGAAAUGAUGGAAUUGAUUAAAAUGUAGAUCUAACGGCUAAAAAAUUGAUAGCAAAAGAGUUCAAAUAUUAUUUAUUGUAUUCCAGCUCAACUCUGUUUUCACUAAAUUAAUUAAUCUCACUGAUAGUAUGGUUUUCUCUGUAACUUGAUUCUAUCUAAUCUAACCUUUGAAAUAAGCUGCAUUAGAACCAAAAAUAAAUAAAUAAAUAAAAUAUUCAUAAGGAAAAGCAUGUGUCAUUUUCUAAGAAUAGACUAGGAACCUAGGAAAUCGGGAAAAAAAUGAGGGUGAAAUAAGAAGUAUAGGUUGUCUUAGGCUUGAAGGCUAGAAUUCAUUGGCUCUCGUCUUAUCAGUAAUGAUAUUUAUGAGAAGUUCUAACUUUGCAAAAGAAAGUUGUUUAGUAAAUGAGAAAUGUUUGGGAUAGCCCAUUUCUGGAUAUCCGAUUAUGUCGCUGAUGUGUUGGUAUACACAUGUGAAUGAAUUAAGAUUUAGGGUUUAGAGUAUAAUAGAGUAUAAUGAUGAUAUUGUCGUGUCAUCAAUAGUAACAGUGUAGGGUAAACUUGGGAGGUCCUACAGCAACACUCUUAUGUUUCAUUUGAUUCGAAUAUAAGUAAGAGAUGCUUAUUUUAGAAAUAGGUACAAGUUCAGGUAUAAGCAAGAACUAAACUAAACUUUGAUAUUAAUAAAAAUUAGAUUAUUCUCGCGAAUAAGACAAAGAGCAUUUAGAUAGAUAAGUCAGAAUAAAAAAAAUAGUUAGUCAUAAAUAAAAAAAUAAUAAUAUUAUCCCUCUUUAUAUUUGAAUUUAAAUUUUUAAUAUUUGAUAUUUUUUAAAUUUAAAAUUUGAUAUCUAUAUUUUUUUAAAUUUAAAUUUUGAUAUUUUAUACCUGCUUUUCAAGUAAAUUAUGAAAAUAUACCGAACAAUAAAUUCGUGCAUCCAACAAAACCUCAAUGAAUAUGAUGAUGAUUUGCUUCUAUUAGUAUCUUAUCUAAAGAACAAGAUGUUUGCCUGACAGAAAAAAGGAUGAGAAGCCAGUUCAACAGCCAGAACCUGCUUGCCCGCGAAUAAACAGCAGGCGAGCGGAAACCGGUUUCGAAGAUCUGGCCAAAACAGUUUACUACAAAUCUUAGCAGGAAAAAGGAAAAUGAAAGAAAAGAUUGACACCCAUGACACUACCUUUGAAUCCUGCGGAGGAAGGAUCACUUUGCAGUUUUUAUUAAACAUGGAGGAUACAUUUACCCAAUCCAGUUUCGCAGUGAUAUCAUAUAUUUCAAUCUUACACAACGCAUAUACACGCAUAUAUACGGGUAUCUCAACGACUAGCUUUUCGCAUACAAAAACGCCUCGUGAACAUGAAUAAACACGCAGACAACACCGCCGACGAGAGAAUUUAGUAUAAAAGUGGGAGAAAGAGGAGACAUUACGCUUUCCUUCCGUUCCUUAGGCCUCUUAGCUCUUCGCGGCAAGUAUAGCCUCACGGACGAAAUCCUCGCACCGCGAGAAACCCCCGGAUAGCACGUCCCGGAGAACGCCCAUCACGUCGAACGCCUCCUGCAGAUCGGCAGCCGUGGUCAUGUCCUCGAGCCAGUCCAGCAUCUCCUUCGAGAACCCCACCAUCUCUUUCAUGUUCACCAUCCUCUCCUUCAUCACCACCUCCCACCUCUCCAAGCUGCCGCUGCCGCUGCUCCCCGCUUCUUCACCCGGAGCAGUGCUCGAUGAUGACGACGACGACGACGACGACGAAUUGCCAAGCUUGAAGAACUGCUGGAGCUGCUCGAUCAGGCCGGUGUAGACAAGAAUCGGCUGGACCAAGGCGAAGAGCUUCUUCGCGUCGGCGGAGUCGGCUGAGGGGCCGCCAUCGUCGGAUCGGCUGGUGGAGGCGGCGGCGGAAUCGGAGGGCGACCGAAGGGUUGAGGAGGAGCGGCCGCUGUGCUUGUGCUGCAUGAAGGCGUGGUAGAUACCACGCUGCAAGAAGGCGAGGCGGUGGGACGACCAGUCCUCAUAGGAAUCGGAGAGGAGGGAGUAGACCAUCAUGAACUGGACGGUCUCCUCGGAUGGGGGGCGAGCGGGGCCGGGUAGGGACGAUGAGGGGGACCGGCCGGGGGAGUCGGAGCUGGAGGUGGUAGAGGACGGUGAUGAUGAUGGGGAGUUAUUAUUGGACGACGACGACGACGACAGGUAGGAGGCGACCGACUUGGCCAUGGCACGGCGCUGCUGCUGGUUGGAGCUGCCCUGGUUGACGAGAUACGAAGCCAUUUGAAUCAUGAAAGGGAGGAAGCGUGAGUUGCUCUCCCUGCCCCCGCCUUUGCUGUCCGUGCUGAAUGAAGCGCCCGUGGCAAACCGAGCCAGCAUCUGCAGAAGCAAAGCAGCAUGUAGAGAAUAAGUUACAUUGGAAUCGAAAUUACUGAUUUUAUUUCUAAUACUACUCCACGGGAUGCGCACUAAGAAACUAGCAUGGUCGCGAAACAAAGGCAUAACAGGCCAAACCCCGAAAUGGAAAUCCUGCGACACCGAAAAUAAGCUAACAUGAUUAAGAAAAAUUAACACUAGUCAUCUUGAAUGUGUAAUAAGCAAAAUCGGCAUAAGAGGCCAAACCCAAUUAUCAUCAUUGCACCUAAGCCUUAUGACUGCUUUUUUUAUUCUAACUGCGAUAAGGGAUUUUAUAGGAACAUGAAUAUUGAGUGCCAGUGUACAAAAAAUAUAUUAGAGACAAAAUAAGGAGAAACUUAAGCGUAAUUAGAAUAAAAGGAUAUAACAAUAAAAGAAAAAAAAAGGGUAAACUUCAAUUUGCCACCCUGUGGUUCAAAAAGUCGCACUUAACUACCCUGUGGUUUAGCACAUCUUCAUUUUACCACCUUGUGCUAAAAAAUUUACACUAAAUUAUCCUGUUCUUAUCAAAAAAAAAUUUUACUUUGCUACUCUAUUUGAUAGUAGAUUUUUUCGAUAAAAAUAAGAAAGUUGCAAUUAACUACCCCGAGGUUUUAUUUAUAUUUUUAUCGAAAAAAUCUACUAUCAAAUAGGGUGGCAAAGUGAAAAUGAGCUAAACCAUAGGAGGGCAAAUUGAAGUUUUCCCAAGAAUAAAAGAACAAAAUAUGCAGGAUCAGCUAAAGGAUUUUCUAAAUUUGUCAUACCAGAACGAUGUCAUAUGUCACCAACCGCAGCCGGCUACCAUCCGCGCGUCCUAGGGUGUUGAGGUGUUCCCAGUACUGAUCAACACACCGAGCAUACUGCGCAAGCGGAACCGAUGGUCCCCUUAAAGGGAAUAUACAAUUACACAAGGUCUCAUUAUUCCUCAGCGUAGCCCCUUCCCAUUCCUUCUUAGGGUUUUUCAAUGCAGCAUCGGCCCGCUUGGCCUCCUGAUGGCACUGGAAGUGGAUGAUGUUGAAAUGGCUGACGGUGGUGUAAACACAGUCGCCACGGCCGCCGCUUGCCGUGUUUGUGGGACCCAAGUUGACCCGCUUGCUGAAAGAGUAGACGCCCAGCAUGUCGUUGGGCCUCAGAGUGUAUCCCUCCCGGCACACCAUGCACGCGAGCCCAUCCUCUUCUUCCUCUACGUCGUCCAAGCCUUCAAUAGCCGGCUUGGAAACAACAAUUCGCUUGCCCCCAUCCAAUGAAAACUCCUGUCGCAUUCCAAGCCCCUAUAGAGAGUAAAGAAGAGAGAGAAGGAAUCAUUCCAUGCACUUGUAACAAUUUCAAAAGAUCACAUUGCACUCACACAUAGAGCGCCCUAUACAUUUACUGAAUCUUUCCGCCUCCACAACUCGUCUAAAAUUUUGAAGUAAAUAGAAGAUAUAACAAUAGGAAUCAAAACAGGAAAAGCCAUUAACAGCUAAAAUAGAAGAUUGUUCUCGCAUGUUUGUAAAUAGGUUCAUCUUCUUUAAUUAUCGAGAAAACUAGUAAUUCUUUUGCAACCAUACACAACAGUUAGCAAUAGAAUUAUGUAAUUUUAUCAAAUAGGACGCCGCUGGUAUGGAACCUUAUGCGAGGCCAGAAUCAAAAGAUUUACCUGAAGUAGCAUUUCUCUAUUCUUAAGGGCCAUUCUGCGCAUCUCGUCCCUUGUAGCAUGUCGCAGUUCUCUUAUCUUCUGCCCCAAGAAGCCAUCACCGUUAUUUUCUUUGUUUGCCAGCGUGUCCAACAAGUUCUCCGCUCGUGUGCCAAUCUCAUUUUCACCAGAUACCCCCUCUAAAGCAUGAAGCAGGGGCAAAACUCCCUCCUCAUCGAUACACCUCUGAGUAGGCAAAUGACCCUUUGAUAGUCCCCUCAACAUUGACAGAAUCAGUGGAACCGACGGCAACUUUAAGCCAAAAGUCCAUUCAGAACUUGUUUUAUACCCAGCCUGGCCCGCAACUGCGAAGCUUUCUUUUAAGUGGGUGAUGGCCGCUUUCACGAUGCCCCUCUCUAGAAUAAUGUCCUUGAGGCUCUCCCCACAUGAACUCGUCUUCAGUGACUCUGAAACCCUAACAAAAUUUUCCAAAGCAGAUCUCUGCUUUGCUGCUUGCUGAGCCAAGCUCUCGUCUUUGGGAUUAUCCUGGUGCUUCUUCUGCAACUCGUCAAAUUCACCCCAGGCUUGAAGGUACGGCUCAAAAUGCUGUAUAAGUGCUUCCAUAGCAACUGGUUGCCCAUAGGUCAAGUAGGGCAAAAUCCUCGCAACCAUCUCAUCGUUCCGCUGCUGCUUAUUUGACUUCUUCGCAGAUAAAGGAUGGCAUAGCCUUUCUAAAAACAUGAGGACAAUUUUCUUAGCCUGUUCACCAGCUGCCCCACUUUCCUCAUUAGAAACUGUGAAGACACUUUGAGUACUGCUGAUGUCACUCUCAUUAGCUUCCAAAGUGAGGCUUUCUACGAUCAAGAGAAUGCCUUCAGCAGGUUCCAUGGCGUCUACUGAGAAAGCACGCCGUGCAGUGUCAAGUAGCAGCCCUAGAGCACCUAAUCGUAGUAAGGCUUGUCUAUUUUCUCGUAUCUUGCAGCAGUACAUUAGAAGGUUGAGCACAGAAUUCAGCUCUUCCUGGUUCGAUCUUAGAUCGUCAUCACGGAGACGCUGCAAAGCAAUUAAGAGAAUGGAAAAAAAAAAAAAAAAAAAAAAAAAAAAAAAAAAAAAAAAAAAAAAAAACUAGGUUUAAAAAAACUGGCAGUCACUGCGAACUCAAUCUUGGCUUGGAUUAUCAACCGCAAGAAUUCAGCAAUAAAUAUCAAAAAAAAAAAGAAAGAAAAACUUUACAUAUUUCAAUCUCAACAGAAGUAAUGUACCUGGAUCAUACUCAUAAUAGUUUCAAGACCUUCACAUUCCCUGACAACACCAGCUAUUGCAAACUCAACUUCAGGGUCUUGUGAUUCUUCCCUUUCCUCUUCAAGCUCUUUUAUCAUAGGCUCUGUGGCUUCACCAUCUAAACCCUGCCAACAAAUAAGAAAAUUUUCCUACCAUAAACGUUAUUUUUAAACCACAUGACAAAUUCAGCAAGCUAAUCAAACCACAAGAAUGAGCAUCGCAUUCAGAAGUCAACACCAGAAAAUCCUUAUUUAAACAAAAAUGUGGUUAUUAAUUUCUAAUGACAAGAGGAAAUUGAUGUGUCAUAACAAUUUGCUUGUGACUUUGUUACACAUAGGGGGCGUUUAGAUUGAUGAAUCUGUAGAUCCAACGUAACUCAAGUGUAGUGGUGUUUGAGUUUUUCUGAAGUGUGAUUAUUUUUUUAUUGUUUGUUUUGACGUAACUCGUACAGUUUAAGAAAUUAAUUUUUUAAAUUCCAUUGUUUGUUUUGAUGUAAGUGGAUUCCGUUAUCUUCUGAAUAUAGUGGUAAACUUACCGCUAUAAAAAAAUAAUUAAAAUUUUCAUUAUUAUUUAAAGGUAAUCCUAAUUUAUUAUAAAUAAGGUAAUUCUAACCCAUUAUAAAGUAGAGUUUAGGUUUUACUAUUUAAUAACUUUUUUCGAGAAAGUUGAGUGUGGCGGAAGUCGAGUUCGGCAUUUUAGAGGGGGAAGACAAGAGUAGGUGAAGUGGAGGUCUAACGUAACUUGAGUUACACUAUAUUUUUGACUUACACCAAAACAAAUACCGGAAGUAAUGGAACUUGAGUUCCACCCCUCCACUUACACCAAAACAAACAGCCCCCAUACUGAAGCAUGUACGAUUCUUAUCAAACUAAAUCAACUUCUCCACUAGAUGAAUCAAGUUGCCAGAAGUUUUCUAUAAAGCAAAGACACAGGAAGUAGAGAUCUGAAUCUGAUAACAAACCUGAAGACGAUAGGUUACUGUCAUUGGUGGGCACUCUCUAGCUGAUGGCAACCCAGCAGAAGACAAAACGGCAGAAGUUGGCAAAGAACUCUGAGUUUGACUGUGAUAUUUCUUCCAGACUUGCUCAUAAACUUGAGAGAUGCUAAGGUCAAGAGAAAUUAUGUUACCACCAACUAAUAGUUCCAUACCGUAGUCAUCUUCCAACAGUCCUACUAAGUCCAGCUGGUUACAAAUUUUAUUUUUCACAUCUCUCAUCAGCGGGCCGAUCUCAGCACUGGAGUACGGAUUCUUUGUCAUGGAACCCCUGAUAAACUCUUCCUGAGUGUGUGCUUUGUUAAGAAUCAGAAGAUAUACAGGUUCUGGCUUUGUUGGACAGAUCAUAUUGCAAAGUUGUUCCAAGAUAAACUGCAGAGCAUUUAGAUGAUAAGUAAAGAAUCAGUUUCUUCUGGCAAUGUAGUAAGAUAAAUUUUAGGUUUACUUAAUUAAUAUAAGCAUUAUAAUUCAACUAAAAAAAUCAACAAUUCAUACCAGUGAAGACCUUCCCUUUUUCUCCUUUGCAUGAUUCUGCAAACUUGAUAUACAAGCACGAAUAAAUUGACGUUUGUUUGCAGUGCUCUCCUGCAGAAGACUGUCCAGAAGGUCUUUUAAGAGACGAUUGCAGUCACUUAUUAGUUUCGUCUUCUGCACUAUAAGACCUCGAAUGACAAGAAAAGCCUCUAGUACUUCAGACAGCAACUCAUCCUGCAUAAACCUGUCGCCAGUAACAAGAAAACUUAAGUAUCAUGGCCCUCUUAAAAAAAAGAAAGAAAAGUUACCAACAAGGUGACAAUUCUAAAAAGCAAAUAAGAUUUACCUGGCUCUGAUGUUCGGUAUCUCAAGAAACUUGUUGAGGAGCUCAAUCAGCUUGUGAAGUAUUAAUCCCUGAGAUAUGUCAAUACUAAGGCUUCUCUCUUGAGACUCCACAUUAGCUACCUCUUGUUUUAUCAACCUACAAAUGGUUUUCAGGCAUCCCCUUACAGUUAAGAAAAGCCGUGCAGCUUCAGAUUCAAUCAUCUUAAAAAGUAGCUCAAAAUAUUCUGUUGCACUCUCACCAACCGAUAGAGUUGCAGGAAGCAACGAUGUGAGUAAGUUUAACAACUGGAACCCUCUAGAAGAACUCAGUGGACAUAACAAUGCAAUAAGAUUGCACACUUCAGAUCUAAUAGAUUGCGAGCAAGCACUCAAAAUCAACUCCGAUACCCAAGAUCCCAAAGCAAAUGUUGAGAAGUCAUUCUUAGCCGUUCUUCUACAAGCACGGCGUUUCCAUUUCAGACCAUAUUUCAGUGCCAGAUAAUCAAACUUCUGUGGAUCUUGUCGCGACUUCUGUGCAGUAGCUUUCACCACCUGCGAGACUUUAUACUGCCUCCGGACAAAAUCAAGAUAAGAUGCGCCUCUUUCCCACUCAGAAUAGCUUAAUAGAGGGAUAUCCUGACUCAUUUGACUGCCUUCCAAGCUCUUUUCUGAUAACUCAGAUGGAGACCUAUUACCAUUUAGAAGGCUGGUAGAAGUAGCAGAUUGGUUUGAACUACUGUCGUUUUUCGGUUGCAAAAGUGAAGUAGAUUUUCCUGUAGCGUUUUCUUUGUCAUUUGCAUCAGAUCUGGGAGGAGUACAUGCCUGAGAUAUGAUUCUCAAACAAGGAAGAAUGAUAUGCUCAGAGAUUGCAGGAUGUUUUGCUCCAACUUUAAUGGAAGAGAACAUGAGCUGAAAAGCAACCCGAAGCCUCGAUUCCCAGAGUUCAUCUACAACAGCACAAGUCUCUGAGAGUAGCAAUAGCUCUUCUCUUGUUGCCAAUGCAAUGUCCAUGGAACGAUGGUGCUCAAGGCAAUACAUGACCUUCUUCUGUAUCAACCUGUUCAGCUCUCCAACUGCCUCUGCAUCCCCCUCACAGAAAGCAGAAAGGACUGCCCUAGCCAGAACACGUGAUGUUUUGGGUCCCUGAUGAAGGUUGUUCUCAAACAGUUCUGAUAAAAUUCCAGCAGAAACAAGUUGUUUUUUGCAGUUUGGAUGUUUUGAAAGCACUUGUAACAGCUCCAGACACUGCGUAACAAAUGUAGUAGCACAACCAUAGCAGUUGCUUGGUGAUCUUGGAAUCGCAAAAGUUGAUAAAGCCACUGAGUCAUCUGAAUUUUUCUGAUGUAGAUAAGCCAUCAGCACGCGCCUAAGUCCUUGCAAUGUCUGGACACUUUUACUCACAGAAUCAAAAGCCGCCUUGCAUUUUUCACCAUACAAUACACCAAGGAGAGCGAUUUUCCUGUUUACCUUGCAUGAAGGCCCAGGCAAAGAAACCAUCAUCUGUUGCACUGUAUCUUUCUGUUGUGAAUCGAUCUCUUGUUCGCCUAUGCUUGAAACGAGCUUAAGCAGAGGUUUCUUGAAUCCCAGAAGUUGCUGGUAUCUCCUAUGAGCAUUUUCAGAUUCAGACUCAAUAGCUGCCAAUCCUUUUCUCAUGUCCUCAUCAUUUUCCAUGUUAUCAAAGGAGAAGCUAGGUUUUGCCAUGAAAUUGAACUCAAAACGGCCAUAUUUGCUGUAUCCACACUCGUUGCAAAGGAAAGAAUCCAGAUUUUCGUAAUUGAUAUUCCUACAUUGCCUGCACUGGUAUGCAUUUUCGUGGCAGUUGCCACAGAUACCGUGCUUAUCGGUAACAGACCUGCUACACCGGGGGCACUGCAAUGACUCAAGAGAAGAGGCUUGUAGAUUCUCAUAGAAAGAAUCAAGUUCAAUCAUGAAAUUGCAUGCAGUAAUUGGAAUGGGGAAUUCCACCUUCAGUUCUGUCUGAUUAAAAGCAAGAUGGCAGCUCUUUGCUCGCUUCCACAGAGACCAAUUGUUCUUCAGCUCCGACAGGUCAGAUACGGGCCUGUUGUUAUAGUAAAGGUUUAAAAUUUUUACGGAUUUUGACUUGCGAGCAUCAUGAACGUUCAUCGUCACCGACUGAAUAGUGUAGCUUCCUGUACAUUUCACAAUUAUCCUGUUGUCAGUGAACUUGGUCUCAGAUUUAAGACUUUCAAGCUUAAUCCUGGCAUAAGGCACAUCAGGGCAGCUACAAGUUACACAAGGUUCGCUUUCAAGAUAGUAACCAUCAAAUUCUACCAAACUAUUUAGUGUGUUGUAUAUACGGGAGUUGGGAUGAUUUGCCAAAAGAUCAUUCUGCGAAUGAAGAGUUUCAAAUAUGCAGCUUAUCACAUCAGAUGUCAGGCAUUUGCUCACAAGUUCUUUCUCAUGAUGCUUUAUGCUACUAUCAGCCAUCUUCCCCAGGAGCCAGGUCAUGAGCUCAGUGUACUCUACGAUGUUUUGGCCAUACAUCGGUAGAGAUUUCACCUUUUGGAAUAGAGUAGUUAAAACUGCUUCCCUAAACGAGCUUUUUCCAUGAUGCCAAACACCAUACAAGACACACUUAGCUUCAUGGCGCACACUUGCUGAGUUCCAUUCCAGCAAGAAGGAAUCAAUAAAACGCCUCAAAAUUGUACCAUCCUUAUCAAUGAACAUUUCUACUGCUUGCUCCAUAUCCACACAAGAUUUUUCUGAACCACUUUCACCGCCAUCCUCACCCUUUCUUUUCUUUUUUGAGUCAGAGGAUUGAGACCCAGUUCUGUUCGAAUAACCUCCUGCAUCUCCACCUUCUGAUUUCUGUGUCCCAUGGCUCACUUCCUUACCAGUAUGAAAGGCCAAGUUCAAGAGCUUAAGUGUUUGAACAACAGAUUCCUCACCAAAAUAAAACAUACCAUUCAUCAAGAAGGGCAGAAGAUCCAUGUUCUUCAAGCAAAACUUCUGCCAAUUUCUUGGUCUCGCUCCAGCCACUUCACAGAUAGCAGACAAGGACUUCACGAGUUUAACACUUCUCUCAUACGGUACAGGAUUCCGGAAGCCUCCGGACUUGUUCACAAGUUUAUGUAGCUUCCUAAUUUCAUAAGAGAACUGCCACGAAUCUCUAACACUGUAGUAAUGAGUCUUGCUACCACACAAGUGAAGGAAAAGCCUUCUGGCGUAUCUCCGCACAAAUGUCGUAAGUGGAUUACUGAUAUAGCUACAAAGAACAUCCUGAAAUCCAUCCAGUUUCAAAUCCUUAGCUACCAAUGACUUGUACAUUUUAUCUUUGUCCCCUGACUUGUCCUGUUUUUCUGGUCGAACCAUGCUAUAAACAAGACGGAAAGUGUUCUCUAGCAAUAGUUUGUGGUAGUCUGUAAACAAAUCAGCCCGGUGAGCUUUAGCAUAAGAAUCUGAGAAGAAGGGCGAGAAGUUUCCAGCAGGAAGUUCCCUCCGAACUGUCAGAAGUGACCCACAGCCAGAACCAGCCGACGAGCCACUUUCAGAAUUAGAUGAGGACGAUUUGAAGAUGGGUACCAGUUGCUGUAAUAUAUCCAUCAAGUAAUUAAGGAAAGCCUGUUGCCUGAGGAAGGAACAAGCACGGACCAACUGAGAAGCAAACUCAUUCUUUUCUGGCUCAUCACUGGAGGAUGGAACAGCUGAAGAUGAUGAUGAUGAUAGUGGAGCCUGAACAAAACCCUUAUCCUGUAAAUCUGAAGAGCCACCUGACUUCGGCUGAGAAACGUCACCGCCAGGAUGGUGCCAGUUACGAAACAUUAGGGUAAAGAACAUGAAGACAAGGAUAGCAACUUCCCCAAAGUAACAACGGGUUUUAGCAGGAAACGGUUUGUUGACGUUAAUCUCAUCCAAUAGCCACUUGACGAAUUUUUCCAUAUCCAGAUUCUCGGGUUUCGAGCUAUCCAUGAAAGGCCCACCAACUGCAGACGAUAGACGAUAGAACAGCUGCAUAAUAGGAAUAGCUCGAAUACCAGCUGUAAUUUCCAUCCAUCCAUUAAGGUCUUCAAUUAACUGAUGCAGCAACAGAGAGUUAACAGCACGCUUGGAUGCAGAAAUUGAGACUAUUCUUUGGUCGGUCACAGAUGAAGGGAAGUCCCCUGCUUCAUUAGUCUCCAAAACAUGAAUUGAGGAUGGGGAAUUCUGCAUAUUUCUAUCGGCAGCUACAUGCAUUACACUUGGAUCACUGAGCUCAUCCAUAGGGAAAUGUAUUUCAUUGCUGCUUUCACCACCGAGCGAAUCGAUUUCUAUUGGAAUUGCUGACAUGGGAUGAUCUCUGGAAUGGGGGGGUGGAAGACGGUCUGCAUCGAGUGCUCUAUAGCAUGCUUCACACAGAUCAAAGUCUGGGCAUACAUUGCAAUGCCAUCUUUGCCUGAGUAUGGGAACAGUGGAGCAACCAUCGCAACAGUAUUGUACUGAUGAUGUUGCAUGGUCUUCUUCAAUCAUGACCUGUGUAUUUCCACCAGUUGGAUUUUCAGAAAGAACGUGUGCUACUGUGCGAUUUUCUACGGCAUCAUCAGUAGGUAUCAUUGUCUGCUUUGGGAAAGGGACUUGAAGCAAUCUAGAUGAUAUGGCCAAACUGAAAUAUCAAAAGAAAACAUAAUAAGGAUUUAUACAAGACAACUGAUGAUAGCGAGGAAUAGUUUAAUGGAAUACCUGCUGGAUGUCUGAACUGCUUCAUAUGGUGCAAAAAGUAGCUUCUUAAGUAAAGCAACAGCAGGAGCAACAGAGAGUCCAUAUGCAUCAUUUGCAUGUAGAGCAAGGCAUUCAGCAUAACUGUAGAUAAGUUCCACAGAUGGUAUCACUAUGCUGUUUAUUGUUUGUGUUUCUGGUCUCUCUAGGUCGAGAAUUCCCCAUAAAAUUUGCAUCAAUCCAUCAACCACCUCCGACCCUGCAACCAAUUGUGCAAAAUGAGUUUCCUUUAUUCAGAUAAAACAGAUAAAUUAACAAAUCCCUUCGAGUAAAUAAAUAGAGCUUGAUCCAAUAGGAAGAGAAAAUAGAAAAUAACAUGUUGCAAAAGAGAUAAUUAUGAUUAUACGCCCAAAGGUGGUUGAAAGCGAACGAGUAGCGAGGAAACAACAAAUAAGAUUAAAGAUUAAAAUAAAAUCGGUACAUGUGAAAUAAGUUAAUUAACAUGCGAAGUCAGUAAAUUUACUGAUGAAACACAAUCAUGUUAUGGUGACGAUUAGCAAGCGAAAGAAUGUAUAUGAUUAUCUUAGAAAGAAUUGCUACACAGAGUGUUGCUAAAUACUGAUAAUAGCAACAGGUCUGCUUGAAAAUUUUCACAAAAUAAAUUAGACUCCAACCAAGAAUUCUGAAAUAAAUGUUGUCUAGAAAACUUCAUUAUAAAUUCCACAUUGGACGCACAUGAAUCAAAUUAUUCACAUGCAAAUAAAUGGGAUUAAAAGUACCGUGAGUCUCAAGAAAAGUAGCCAUAUUUGCUCUCCGAUGCAAAGCAAUUUUUGACACUGCAUGCAUUUGUGCCGUAAACUCUUUGAUCACCCAGCCAGAUGCAGCACCCCCAACUCCUAUUCUUGAAAUGAGCAUAGGAAAAGACUUUAUGACACCUAAGAGGCGCAUGGUGUCUUUUACCUGCAAAAAGUAUAAAAAGUUGAGACUGGGAUGUAAAACCAUAAAAGAAAAGGAAGAAAAACUAAUUAAAAAUAACAAUGUCUACAUGAUAGUAUAUCUCUCUCUUGGGAAAUACAGCCCGAAGAACAUGACAAGCAGCAGACUGCAGUAGAGGUUCUCUGUCGCUUUGAAAAACAGUUUCCAACAGCGUCCUGCAUUUCAGCCUCCUAACCUCUGAAUCCACAUCAACAACUUCAGUAGACUGAUUUGACCGACAUAACAUGUAAAUCCUCGAGAGGAACUUCAGAGCGUCCGCCAAAACCUGCUCCUGGAUAGGAGCAGCAUGCAUCAUCUGAUACCUUUUCCCCAACCUCCCUGCACCAGAACUGGUGCCAAGCACAUGUGCUUCCAUAUCCAGCACAGCGUCCAUUUUCUCUUUCCACCCAAAUUCAUCCUUAGCUCGGCCAUAAACUUCAAGCGAGUCUAUUCUAGGGUUUGCCGAACCAUCAAGAGUUCGGCCUAUUGUAAUUGUGAACUCUUCAUCAGCUAGAAGAGAUUCGGCAGUCGUAAAUGGAAUGUCAUACCAUGAUCGCAUGCCUUCAUCCAGCUUGACUGCUCUCUGGAAAAUUGUGACCUCGGAGGGAAUAUGGAUGGCUGAUCCAUUACCCACAUGUAUACGGCAACCGACCAUGACGAUAUCAGGGUUGGAAUUUGAUACAGUUACCUAAAAUCAUGGAAUCAUUAAGAUUGGUCAUCAAUUAUACAAAAGUCAAAGUACAAAAUUUGGAGUGCAAAACCAAUUUACAUGGACUUGAGUGGCAUUUGAAGAGCAUAUCGAAUGAACAUAGAAAAUUCCAAGGAAAAACGUUAGACGAGGAGAGAAACUAUACCUUAAAUCCAGCAGGAGUGGGACUCUCCAGGAAUCCAUCAUCUGAUGCUAACUUUUGCUUGAUACUGUCAGAAUCACCACUCCUGAUAGCAUCACUGCUCAGUUUCACAUCUGGUGUGAUGCACAUAGUUUUCUCAAAAAAGUCAAGCGGAAAUUCAGGGUUUGAGCCAGCGUAUGCUCUACUGCUAAGAAUGCUGGAGCCUAGCUUCUUUGUCUGUUCCACACUCAUACCUGCUGCCGUAUCACCUCCUAUGGGUGUGUAAGAAUAGAUCUGAAGGCUCCCAUCAUCAUGUAAAACAAGACAGUGGAUCUUAUCUUUGGAUAAAGGUUUAUAGGCAGCAACACCAACCAUAGGGGUAGUUGAGACUGAACCAUAUCUCAUAUUCUGUGCAGCUAAUUCAUGAAGACCGAGAGAUACAGCAAGUGGAGAGUUCGAUUUAAGACUUGAUAAAGAAACAAAAAUACCACUUCCAACAACCAGCUCUUUCCAAUGAUGCAGCCCAGCAGGCCUAACUUUACCAUCUUGAUCUUCCUCGUAAACAUAGGAUGAUUCUGUAAGGGAUGUCGCAUUAGCAUCUAAACGCCCCAUUAGGGUUGUAUUAUCUUGAUAGGCCAAGAAGAGCAGCCUGUACGUUGAUGAGAAGUAUAACGACAGCCCUUUCUGCUGCACUUCUGCUGCAUCUUUGACCUUGAUGGUUUCAGUCAAUGUUUUAGCACCAACAUCACCUUCCAUAGAAACCUCCAACCUAAAUAAACACCCAGUUUCUGAGAGAACAAGAAGGAAUACUUUUCCCAUGGAAGCUGGAACGAGAGUGGCAUCAACAAUUAAAUCAUCAGCCAAAUUGAAGUAGUGCAUGGGACUAAUGUUGUCCUGCGAAAGGUCAUAUAUCUUAACAAACAUGUUUGUCACCACCAUUAGCUGAACCUGAGAACCCGGCACCCAUUCAACCCGACGAAUAUAGGCACCUUGCAAAGCAAGUUCAAUGGCGAGGCGAUCAGUAACUUCACCUCGAGAAUUCAAAGUAAGCACUUGGCAAUCUUCAUAUCCAGCUACAGCAAGAUAGUUUUCUACCAAAGGAUUGAAAAGUAGGUGAAUGAUUUCAAACCGCACAAUGUUUCUAGAUAGUGGUUUCACAUUUGUCUUGUCAGCUGUGACAGGGGCAACAGUAGGCUGUCCAAUCAGUUGUCCAACAUCAAAUAUAGCGACCUUGUCUCCUUCUCCAGCAGCAAGCCUACCUCGAACACUGACACUGAGGAGCGACUUGGUCAAAGACCCGCUAACUAAAUGAGAUUUAAGUUCCCUCGAAUUUGGAUAAUCUGCCUUUAUCUUCAAGUCCAGUGAUCCACUUUUAUAAGCCUUCUUCAGUUGGAACAUAUCAGCAUUGUGCGAGACCAUUUUAUCACCUCCCAAUAUUACCUUCUUGUCUUUUGAAAGGUUUAGCUCCCUCUGGGCGAUCACGGUGGGAAGCAACUUAUUGCAGAGUUCAAGCAGCCGGCCUUCAAUAUUGAGGUUUUCAAUUAUAACAGGCAGUCGAUCAUGCAGCUCUAGUGGUAUCGAUAAGUUAAAGCAAUUAUCCACAUCACCACUCAUGUUAUCAUCCAAAUCUGAGUCGCUAUCUGCCGCCUGAUCGGCAUCUUCAGAAUAAGGCAAAAGGGGCUGAAAAUUACUUGUAGCAGGAGCAGAUAAGCUGGAAGGGCCAGUAAACUUUCGAGGCUUCAAACACUGGCAACUGCUUCCUCGAACACCCCCGGCCCCACAAUCACAGAAAAACCGACUCGAUCGAGAGUACACAACACGGUGUCCUCGGUGGCAGACUUUAGCACAGAUCGAACAACAGCCCUUUGAAACAGUUAAGUCACAUGUAUAACAGAAAUACCAAUGUUGCUCCAUAAAGUUGCUGCCGCUGGACGUGAAAGUGCAUACUUUAGAAGCUAGUGCUCUUUCACUGUUACUGUCCUCCUCAUCAUCCCUAUCAAUACUGCCCAGUUCCCCAUCAGAUGUCCCAUCAUCUUCAUCUUCAUCAGCAGAUGUUGCAUCACAGUCAGCUGAGGCAGAGCCCCUCUCUUGAUUUGCUGUAAGAAGCAAAUUUUCUGUGUUUUUUCUUGAACUGACUUGUUUAGGAACUACAGAUCCCAAACUAGAACUAUCACUUAAAGACUGUUUCAAUGAAUGCUUAUCUGAAGAACUUUUGUUAGAUCUAUAGUCAUUCAUUACAGCAUCAAGAAAACCAAACAGGAACUUCAACGCAGGAAGCGAGCCCUCGCUGUCGACCAGCUUCUGCACUAACAUUACAGUACUUUCUAAAAGCUGCUUCAUAAAAGGCUCCCCACUCAACAGCUGAACUAAAAAAUUGAAAUAAGCUUUUCCAGUAAGAAGAUCAUAGUGCAGAAAUGCGCGAUCAAGCAAUAUGAGCAUUGCUUCAACAAGUCUACUCAGCAGUUCUCUGGUGAAAGUAUCACCUGAUGGAUAUACAAGGCGCAUAAUAAAUUCCAUUGUUGCUUCUCUGAGUACGGGGGAACCUGCUGUAACAGCAACACUUCCCAAAUUCUUUGAGCAACCUAAGAGCCUAAAUUCCAACCAAUGUGACAAGCGUGACAAUUCCAUUUCAAGAAACUUCUUAUGUAGUUUCUCCUUGAGACUAGGACAAAGUCCAUCAGCUAAGAGACCAGUAAAUAAAUUCAGAACCUUCAGGUUAAUCGGCUCAGAGUGGCAUUUAUCCAAUGCGUCAAAGAGAACCGAUAAAUUAGCAUGAUAUCCUCCAAAAAAUACCUUGAACUCUUCAGGCACACCUUCAUCAGAACCAAGAUAGUAUUUAGAAAUCUCCAUUCCCGAAUUGUCUCUUCUCAGAUCAUCAAUAAGAUCAACAAUACUAGCAACGAGUGCUUCUUGCAUGACAGUGUCGAUAUCAUCUUUGAAACUAAUGUUUGCCAAAAAACCUUCCAAUUGCUUCAGAGCAAAGAGAUCACAAUAGCCUGCCAAAUCAUUCCGUUGACCAAUCAAACUAGUACAUAUAGAAUCACAUUGCCCAGAGAUGCUUCUAAAAAUUUUAUCAGUUUUUACGGUCAUCACAUUCUCCAGAAGUUGUGUAACAACCCCAGCCUCCACUUGGUCUUUAUGUUCUGCUCCUCUGAUUUUGAGAUAUCCAUCCAAGAUGCACACAAUCUCUCUCACUUCAAGAAUGCAAGAAAGAAGAGCACCACUGCAACAGUCAGAAUGCGAUGGAAAGCCAUGUAACAAACAUCUACACAAGAUAAAAUUUAAGCCUCCCGUGUCAAAUUUACUAGCAAUUCCAUCCAACUUUGAUGGGAGAUCAUAUAAAUCCUCUAGUUGUGAAAUACUGCAACCAUAUUUCUCAAGAGGAAAUUUCUGUCCGAAUUUGUCAAUAGCUGAAAGUUUAAACAAUAAAAGAGGAGAAAAAUGAGCUGCACAAGCUCCUACAUCAACCGUAGAGAGAAAUGAUUCACGAAGAACUUGGAGAUAGGUCUUCAAAAUGGACGAUAGAACAUCCAAAAGCCAUCCGCCUUUGUUACCUUGCAAUAUGUACAUAACCAAACUUUCGCCAACAUCAAAUAAUUUGCAAUCCUUGGGAAGCCUAAGCCAGUAAGAUUCCAUUUCAGAAAUAGUAUUUCUCUUCGAGUUCCUCCAAAAUCCAGCAUUAAGCAGUAAGAGAAUAAAAGAAAGCCACACAUUAUUCCGAAGAAAGUCCCAGCUUCCAACUUCAGCUGAAUCAAUUGACUUCUGGGGGUGAAAUUGCUGAAGUAGAUCAAAGAUGCACGCAGGAAAAUCAUUGUCCUGUGAAUUAACAGCAGUGCCUCUCACAAAACUAAGGCCAAGCAUACAGGCACUCCGAACAUCCGAAAAGUCGAGAUUCACCAAAUUGACCCCAUGAGAAGUACUAUUGGUGCUAAAACUGAUACUGGAUAUCGUACCCCAGCAAAGCAAAAAGACAUACCUUUCCACUAUGAGAUGUUCCGCUGCUUCUGGCUUUUUACCCCUCCAGAAACUAAGAAUUUGCGAAAAAGUAGUUGACAAAUCAUCAAAGUCCAAACCCAAUUUUUGGAAUGCAGUGUCAUUGCCCCUGUAGAUUGUAGCAUGAAGUGGGGUGACAUCAAUCAGUUGAGGAAGCAAGCUACUAACUACAGAGGAUUCCUUAAUUGAAUCUCCAAAAAUACUCUGCACAACAGCUGAUGCACAGGAAGGCAAGUGAUCAUGUAGUAUAUAGGACUGGUCUGCUAUAAAUGGAACUUCCCUCAACUUAGACCUCAAACGCAAAAGCAACCACGACGGGCAAGUUGAUGGGUACAAUAUCAUAUGUCGUAAGGGCAAAAGCAACCGCGAGAUGAGUAAACCCCACCUAGAAAGUUGCCCUGCGGUAGUUCCAGGUGGAGGAGCACCUACUUCUCUCAGUGAAGACAAUACAAAUUUCGCCAGUUCUGGCUUUUUAUCCUCACUUGAUAGAUGGAAUGCCAUUAGUAGAAUCUCUAAAUGAAAAGCACAAGGAAGAGUCCCAAAGAAAUCAGUGGACUCAGAACAUAUGCCCAAGAUAUUCUUUGCCUUUUCAAGAACGAAGUUGAAAUACCCAUCAAUGAUUUUUGUUUGCAGAUUGCCAUCAGAAUCUGACCCAGAAAUAAGAGCAUGUGCAACCAGAGUGAGAGACAAGUGAUUAUACACAUACAUUCCAUCUUCCACCUUCAGCACCUGAUCUAUGAGGUGUACUUUGAGAGAAGUUGGCAAAUCAUGCCGAACAAGAAGAGUGUGCAACAGCUCAAAACAGAUCUCAUUAAUUUGCAGCAAAGUAAUCUGUACGGGGUCCUCAGAAUUUCUUUCACCAGAAAAACAGACCGGACAGUUGAGAAUUGAAAGGAGCUGAUCGAUAUGGAAUGAUUGAAGCUUUAUCCAAGCAUCCUCAAAUAUCAUACAGUGCCAAUCGGGAGAGAAGACACAUGUUUUGAGGAAACUUAGCAAAUCAGUUGCCGCUUGGAUAGGUAGGCGGGGACUGCUGGAGGUGCUAGUGACGAGAGUGACUGGCUGAUCGAGGCCAUCAGUCGGCCCUGUAGGACGACUAGCUUCAGAAAAAAGAUUCCCAAAGAUCGCUUCAUCUUCAUGACUGACUGAACACUCCGAAUCUGAAACAAUAGCAGGCUUUGUGGAAGUCGAUCGUAACUUAUCAACAACCGGUCUCGAUUUUACCCCUUCUGCGUGGAGGAAAAAGGCAAGAUGUACCAAGUCAUCCACCCAUUGCUCUGAUUCCGGAAAUAUCAAUCUCAGGUAUUCCUCACAAGUAUAAUUUUUCAGCAGAGAAAUCCUCUUAGAACGAACAUGACAGAAGGAAACAGAAAUUUCAGACUCAUGCGAACAAUCAGGAGCUUUUCUUUCGGACUUCUUUAAAAUGUCAGACGGAGAUGUCCAACUUUUAACAUCCUUGAGAAGCUUCAGCAAAUACAGAACAACUUGAGGACAGUAAAUUAAUGGGGGCUUCAAGGAAGAGCUAGAUUCAUCAUAUCUCCAAUUCUUGGAAUUUAAAAUUUCCAUCAUUGAUGCAACUACACAUGUUUGGACUGUAUAGCAAACAUAAUCUUCGUAGAAGAUGAUAUGAAUGAAGUGCAGAAAAUCUUCAAGAAUUUGCAAUACAAGAGCUCCCAAUCUAUCCCCACCAGUAGCCCAAUCAUGGUUAGAGAAGUCAAAUCUCAAUCUAAAUAAGCUUGGUAAGGUAUCGGCAAAAGUAGCAACAGAAUGUAAUAGUUCUGUAUCGUAAGGAUCAUAAGGAAAUUCCAAAGCUAGGCAUCGAAGUAACUUCAAAAUUCUUUGACUGAUAGAUAGCCUCGAGCUAAAAUUUGCAUCUUGUAUAUGCUCUAAAGAUGGAGGCCGAAGAAGCUCUUUGCAGAGCAUAAGGAGGUGAGGUACACACUUCAAGUGCACAAUGGCAUGAUGCUGCAAUACUGACAUCAUAAAAUUUGGAGAUUUCGUAACCAGAGUUUCAGUGGACUGUCUACCAAGAGGAACUGGCCAUGAACUCUCAGAUGACAAGGAAACCAGAAGGCUUGCAGUGACAUUUUCAUCCUUCGAGCAUUUAAAGCCUAAUCCAGGAAACAUGUGAGAAAAGUAUCAGAACAAACCAAGGUACUAAAUUAACUUAAGCACUAAAGCUAAAAAUGCCAGAAAACCCCUAUAAACAGUUGCCUCCUUGAAUUAAUUAAAAUGGCUGCUGCAACAUUGGUCAAAGGAGACAAAAGAACUAGUAGUUUGAGAGGAUAAUGAAGAGAUUUCGAUAUUUGAGGGUGGCAAUGAUAGUUAUAAGGGAUUCCCUGCAUUUCCUGCAAUACAACCUUCAUAUAAUGAUGAAAAUUUUGGAAUAUUAACAGAAGCAACACUACCUUGGAGGUAACAAUUUUCUAUACUUCCCAUAUCCAUGCUUUCAGCUUUGACUGGAAUAGAAGACAAUUGCUCUACAGAGAUAUUUACAGGACAAUGAUCUGGUACAUCACACUCCUUUGAAGUUGCAUUAGCUAGUGCCAAUUCCAAGAAUUGCACUAACUCAUUCUGGGAAGAAACACGAAACAAUGAAUGAAACAAAUUACACAUUGCUUAAAUGGAAAUAAACGUACAAAAGGUGAAAUCUGUCAACUGAAAUAUGGUAUUAUUACAAGAAACGGAAUUCCCAAAAAUAUAGACAAAAUUCCCCCUCCUUCCUACAAAGCAAGGUUUAAAGUAAGGAUUAAAUUACCACCCGGUUCUCGCAGGACCCCCCAUGCCGCGAUACCCAGCAGGUAUCGUGAGACAACACGAUAACCGCUGGGUUAUUGCGGUACGUAUCGUGCCAAUUUUUUUUUUUUUUUUUUGGUUAUGAUUUGUUACCUAGGAUUUUAGAGUUGUUAAUAACUAAAUCACACUAUUCUAUUGCUAAUUUGUUUUUUUUAUUCUGUUGUUUCCUUCCCUCCCUUAUCUUUAAUUUAUAAUAAUUCUAAUCUUAUCUAUUCUAGAAUCUAAUCUAAUCCAAUUUAGAAUUACCUAAUGUAAUCGAUAAAAUCUAGUCAAAUCUAAUCUAACCUAGAAUCUAAUAUAACAUAUAUUUAAAUUUAUCUAUUCUAAUUUAUAAUUAUGAAACCUAAUCAAAUCUAAUCUAUCUAUUAGAGUAUUAAAUAUAAUAGAAUAUAACUAAUUAAAUUCGAUUUACGCAAUUCCAAAUUACCUAAAUUAAUAGUUUAAAAAUUAAAUUACCUUCUUUAAUCUUACAUCGAAUCUAAUCUAAUCUAUUUUAUAUUUAAGUUUCCUAAUCUGAUUUAGUCUAAUCUAAUCUUAUGAACAAACUAAUGUAAUCUAGAAUUAAUUAGGCUAUUUCAUUCCAAUCUAGAAUUUGUAAAUUAGCAUAAGCAUAAAAUAAUUUUGAUUAGUAUUAUUAGAUAUAUUAAAAUAUAUAGUUGAUUAUAGUAGAUUAUAUAGUCAAUUUAAUUUGACAAUACCAACCAUAUCUAUACUAAAAUUAUCAAGUAAAUCUUGUAUCUGCAGAUGACAAUAUGCAAUAUAAUCCACUGCGACAAUCUAUGUGAAAUUAAGCAGUCAUCUUUUUGUAAAGAUGUAAAUUUAAAUUUAAAUAAUUAUUGUACUUCUGAAUUUUAUUAUUGUACUUUAAUUUUUAUUCUUUAUGAGGUAUAGUUGUAUUUUACAUAUAAGAAAGCUUACCAGUAUGUUAAUUGGUGAGUAUAGUAAGCUAUAUAUAGCCAAUAUUCAUAAUUAUUUGACUAAAUCUUUCAAAGUAAUAUUAUAAGAACCCGUGCCAAAGCAUGCCAUUAGUAGAAUAGUAGGUCAUACGUAUCCAUCGACACGCAAAUGUGCCACGUGCCGACACGGAAACGUACCAGUGCUAUAUCGUGCCAAGCAAACAAUGGCACGCCCUCAUGCCACGGCACUUUAAUCCUUCGUUUAAAGUAUCGCUCCGUGCCGAUCAACACGGGGCGAUACGUACAGUGCCACCAAUUAAGGGGCACGGUACAGGGGGCAUCUCUUUUGGAUCCCCCAUGCCGUUGCGUGCCUUUUGGGUAUCGCGGCACAAUGCCGUUGCGUGCCAAGCAAACAACGGCACGCAACAUUUUAAGUUUUAACCUUUUUUUUCUUUUUCUUUUUUGGUUUGGGCCUACUUAUAGAUUUUUUUUUUUUUGCCACACACAUAUCCCUCCGUCUCCUUCUCUUCAACGUUUUCUUCUCCGCAAUUGCUCUUUCAGUCUUUACUUUUCUUCUCGCUAGCUCUUCCUUUUUUUUUUCUUUCUAUUUUUUCCUCUAUUUUCUUAUUAUAAUUUUUUCUCUAAUUUCUUGUUUCAAUUCCUUCUAUUUCUACUUCGUUUCUAUUUUUAAUCACUUCAGUCUUAACAGAAAAGGCAAAGAAAUAGCAAAUCGAAGAUGUUAUUAGGUAAGUAAAAUAAUUUACAAUUUUAAAUUAUUUUUCGUACAUUUUGAAUAUUUCUAACUUGUAAAGUUUCUGUUUUGAAGAAAUUUGAAAUUAUGCAAAUUUUUAUUUUAUUAGUAUUUUCCAUUUUCUAAAUUCAAAAAUAGAAUUGGCAAAGUUAAAAAAAAUUGUCGUAAAUCUCGUACCCAAUACUAGAUUCAUCCAAAAUAAUUUUUGUAAGCUAUAAAUAAAAAUUUGCAUAAUUUCAAAUUUCUUCAAAACAGAAACUUUACAAGUUAGAAAUAUUCAAAAUGUACGAAAAAUAAUUUAAAAUUGUAAAUUUUUUUACUUACCUAAUAACAUCUUCGAUUUGCUAUUUCUUUGCCUUUUCUGUUAAGACUGAAGUGAUUAAAAAUAGAAACGAAGUAGAAAUAGAAGGAAUUGAAACAAGAAAUUAGAGAAAAAAUUAUAAUAAGAAAAUAGAGGAAAAAAUAGAAAGAAAAAAAAAAGGAAGAGCUAGCGAGAAGAAAAGUAAAGACUGAAAGAGCAAUUGCGGAGAAGAAAACGUUGAAGAGAAGGAGACGGAGGGAUAUGUGUGUGGCAAAAAAAAAAAAAUCUAUAAGUAGGCCCAAACCAAAAAAGAAAAAGAAAAAAAAGGUUAAAACUUAAAAUGUUGCGUGCCGUUGUUUGCUUGGCACGCAACGGCAUUGUGCCGCGAUACCCAAAAGGCACGCAACGGCAUGGGGGAUCCAAAAGAGAUGCCCCCUGUACCGUGCCCCUUAAGUGGUGGCACUAUACGUAUCCCCCCGUGUUGAUCGGCACGGAGCGAUACUUUAAACGAAGGAUUAAAGUGCCGUGGCAUGAGGGCGUGCCAUUGUUUGCUUGGCACGAUAUAGCACUGGUACGUUUCCGUGUCGGCACGUGGCACAUUUGCGUGUCGAUGGAUACGUAUGACCUACUAUUCUACUAAUGGCAUGCUUUGGCACGGGUUCUUAUAAUAUUACUUUGAAAGAUUUAGUCAAAUAAUUAUGAAUAUUGGCUAUAUAUAGCUUACUAUACUCACCAAUUAACAUACUGGUAAGCUUUCUUAUAUGUAAAAUACAACUAUACCUCAUAAAGAAUAAAAAUUAAAAUACAAUAAUAAAAUUCAGAAGUACAAUAAUUAUUUAAAUUUAAAUUUACAUCUUUACAAAAAGAUGACUGCUUAAUUUCACAUAGAUUGUCGCAGUGGAUUAUAUUGCAUAUUGUCAUCUGCAGAUACAAGAUUUACUUGAUAAUUUUAGUAUAGAUAUGGUUGGUAUUGUCAAAUUAAAUUGACUAUAUAAUCUACUAUAAUCAACUAUAUAUUUUAAUAUAUCUAAUAAUACUAAUCAAAAUUAUUUUAUGCUUAUGCUAAUUUACAAAUUCUAGAUUGGAAUGAAAUAGCCUAAUUAAUUCUAGAUUACAUUAGUUUGUUCAUAAGAUUAGAUUAGACUAAAUCAGAUUAGGAAACUUAAAUAUAAAAUAGAUUAGAUUAGAUUCGAUGUAAGAUUAAAGAAGGUAAUUUAAUUUUUAAACUAUUAAUUUAGGUAAUUUGGAAUUGCGUAAAUCGAAUUUAAUUAGUUAUAUUCUAUUAUAUUUAAUACUCUAAUAGAUAGAUUAGAUUUGAUUAGGUUUCAUAAUUAUAAAUUAGAAUAGAUAAAUUUAAAUAUAUGUUAUAUUAGAUUCUAGGUUAGAUUAGAUUUGACUAGAUUUUAUCGAUUACAUUAGGUAAUUCUAAAUUGGAUUAGAUUAGAUUCUAGAAUAGAUAAGAUUAGAAUUAUUAUAAAUUAAAGAUAAGGGAGGGAAGGAAACAACAGAAUAAAAAAAACAAAUUAGCAAUAGAAUAGUGUGAUUUAGUUAUUAACAACUCUAAAAUCCUAGGUAACAAAUCAUAACCAGGCACACAAGAAUUUUUUGACCGUCACACUCGCGCCGGCUCGGCACGGCGGGUGCCGUAUGCGUGAACAAAAAAAGGACAAAGUUUUUCGGGAGACUCCCGGCCACGCGCCACUUAAACCUUGCUCACACAGACUUGUAAGUCAGCCACCAUAACAAUGAACACCAAACAUUUAAAAGGGGUCAAAAAUCGAGCAUUAGAGUGAGGUGACCGAAUGACAUCGGCGCAUUAGGAGAGUCUUUACCGUAACGCAGGGGGAGCACGGACUCAACACCAGUAUGCAGGGUGCCUAUUCCACCAGCAGAAUGGUCAUCGAGGGCGUGGAUUGGCCGGGAUAGGUGACUCGGCCAAGAUAAGGAGCUCAACAUAGAGCAAGUGGCAGCAGCAAAAAAAUACACCUAGGAGUUUAGCUGGCCCAAGAAUGUUGGGGGAGGAUGAUCUGGAGUACAGUGGGGAUGCCGGGGCUUGCCGUUAUGCCGGCUACGACGGCCGGCUGCCGUGAGAAGCUAGCUCGGCUCGAGGAUGCCAAAAUCACAGCACUAACACCAACAACCGUAGCCAUGCUGAGGAGGGUCUGCAGCUAGGUCCAGCGAGGAUCUGAGGGAGAGGAGAAGGGGACUACCUGUGCUGGCCAUGGGAGGGACCUUCGGGGGGCCGUAUGCUUGUGCGUGCGGGCACGCGGCGAGGGCUGCUGUUGGGGAGGAGGGGUUAUCCGCUUGGACGGCGGCGCACGCGGCAGGCGGUGGCGGGGCUGGUGCGUGAUGGCGCGCUGGUUGUGGCCAGCGCUGGCUUCCACUAGAGAGUGAGAGGCAUUCAACCACUCUCUCUGCUAUAUAUAUAGAGAGAGAGAGCGAAGUUGAUGAGGCAGGGGGAGGUGAGGGAGGGAGAGAGAGAAUCUGUUCCCGAUCGGUGACCUCGCCGGAGUGUUGACCACCGGCGAUCACACGCCAGAGAGGGUUGCGGUUGUGGAGUGACGGGCGAAGAUACGGUUAGGAGUGAGGCUUAAUACAAUAUACUAUAUUAUAUAUAUAUAUAUAUAUAUAUAUUAUAUAUAUAUAUAUAUAUUACAACAUAUGCACUGUUUAAGUAUACAAUAUAUAUAUAUUAGAGAGUCUCGUUUACUAUACUUCUUAUGCGCUACGAUACGCUCAGUAUUCAUAACUCGUUUUCGAUGAUAGAGCUUGCCGAAUCGACGAUCCAUAGCGCUUAAACAUUAUCUAAAGACAUUAAAAUUUCUAGAAUUCAAAUUUUUAAUUUUUCGAAUUAUUUACCUUACGGAUCAAAAGGUCGACAAAAUUGAUAUUUUUUAACGGCGAUAUGGAUACUUGCUAGUUUAACGUUUGAAAAGAAUGCGGAAUUAGUUGAAUUUUGAUACGAAAAUUCUAUUCACUACCUAGAUAAAGAAUUAAUACUCCAAUUUCUUAAAAUUGAAGGAAUCUCGAUCAUCAUUUUUCUAGGACGCGUUCGAUUUGGACCGUUUCAUUUUAUCCACCGCUGAUGAGACUUUAUUAUGAUUUUCAAAAAUUACAAAAUUUAUUUUCUAAAAAGUUUCAAUACUCUAGCAUCAUAUUUAACGGAGAGUGGUCAUCGUCGAUUCGGAACGCUUUCCAAUAUCGAGAAACAACUUAUGAGUAUGAAGGCUCUAAUACUCAUAAAAGUAUAGUAGCCCUACUCUAUAUUUAUAUAUAUUACUUUACUGUAAUAAAUUAACAGCCCCUUAGCUGCUUCCUUUUUGCUUCCUAGCGAUCCACAGCUAAGUGUAUACUCUGCCACUAUGUAGCGCCUCCUCGCCUUAUAAAAAUCUGGCGCAAUUUAACAAUAAACUCGCACUUUUUCAAGUAGUCCUCAUUCGAUUUCAUCUCUCUAGCUCAAUUGGCUGCCAUUUUUCGACAGAUAUUUAGAUUGUUCCGCGAAACUUUGAGUCACAUAUAUUCCACUCCGGUUAGUUUUACAUGGGGUCAGUCACAUGAAAUGAUGACCCUUCGCACAUUGUCCCUUCUUUUUUUUUUUUUUUUUUUUCUUUUCUUUUUUUUUUUUGUUUCAUCUUUUUUGUUUUCCUUUCUUUUUUUGUUCUUAUUUUUUUUCUUUUUUUUGUUUUUUUUUUAUUGCAAAAAAGUUGCAAAAUUCUGCAAUUUUAAUCCCUCAUGUUCAUAAUUCAAACCCAAACUCACCCUAGGUGUGUUUUGCCUCCUCAAAUUUACCUCCACCUCAAAAAUCCGGCAAUAUUAGACACGUGAACAGCGCUGUGUUUUUGAAUAAAUACUCCGAUCCAAUAAAUUUGCACGUUAUGCAAAUUCACAUCCCCAAACAUCAUCAUAUACUGUUCAAACAGCCACCAAGGGGAUCCCAUUAUAGGACUUACUAGUAUCUAGUGGUGGACCCGAUGUACUGUCGAGCACUAUUUUUGUCAUAUCCCGGUGGUCGCAGUGAGCCGCUUCUAAUGUUGUGCCCGCAUGGGACUAAAGCACCUCUUUAUGAAAAUUCAUUUAGGUAAAGUUAUUCUCGGUUACUACAUUUAAAAAGAUUAAUUAUAAAUAUUGGCUAGAUGAAUAGCUUACUAUACCUUAGGCCACUUCGACCCUCAUCAUCGUAGUUUUAUAUGAUUGUACACGCGUUACAUAACUCUUAAGAUAUCAGCUCAUGUAAGAAUAAUAGAUUUAAAGUAGAUUAGUAAAGGCUUUUGAAUCAAUUCUUUGCACUUUUAUCCUUCUUUUUUUUUACGACUUAAAAAAUAUAUAAAAUAUCAAAAUUACUAGGCGUAAAAUUAUAUACUUUCAUCUCAGUAAAUUUUAUUAUGAAAUUCUGCUACAUCAGAACCGUCCAUAGUGAAUCUUGACACGGGUCUAUGGACACGGCCGCGGUGGUGGGAUAAAUGCCACCUAGAUUAACUAGGAAUAAGCAUCUAUCAAUUUGUUCAGUAAUUUCUUUUAAUUGAAUCCUUUUUAGCAACUAUUUAUUAAAAUCCUUUGAUAGAAAAAUUAAUAUUUAAAAAUUAUAAAACAAGUUGUGAGAUCUAUUCAUACAAAUCUUUUAACAUUAUAAUAUUCAUUUCAUCGCGACGAUUAAUUAAGCAAAUUUUAAAAUAUCAAUAUAUUGCUUUAAUUUAGUACACAUAAUAGAAUGAAAUAUUUAUUUUCUUUAGCAACAAAAUAUUCUAACUAUUUAUUAUGUCUAUUUAUCACAUCUUUUGAACUUUAUUGAAGAAAUUACUUACUAAUUUAAAGAAUAGAGGAUUUUGAGCUGUGCCAUCGGCACGGGGUCUGUAUCGUGCCGGUAUCUUGUUGGCACGGUAUGGUACGGUGGAUACGGCCCGUAUCGACGGGUACUUGAAACCUUGCUUGUGAGCACAUUGAUCGUCGGGCUUUCCUCUAUGUUGUGCUCACCUCAAUGGUGUAAUUCGGACCAUCGGUGGAAUCGCGAGUCUAUCGGGUGCUCGAACCAAGCCCAUAUAGCUUAUUCUCACUUUCCAACGGCCGGCAAUCGUCGUUGUGACUCCGGUGCUGGUUCGCUGCAGCCAAAAGUGCGUCUUGUGCCAUUCGACUACUCUCAUUUUGCCCCAAUCCAGUAAAAGACUAGAAACCCAUUGUUGUACUAUAAAUGAUGCUCUAUGUGUAAUGUUGGGGCGACUUGGACAUUUCAAUGCUUUGUGCAUCGUGGGUACUGUUGGGCAGCAGUGUUUGGCAAUAUUAGACGUUUGGACUUUGGACUUGCUGUCCGAGAUUUGGAAACUUUCCUUUGCUGAUUUGGUGCGAAACGACACAAAAUCGAGCCGAAAUCGGAUGGAUAGUGCGAUUUUCAAUUUCAUUAUCACGAAAUCGAUGUUGUUGAUGUUCGGAUUUGUUGGCGAGCCUCGUUGGUUGGUUUGGCCUCAUGGUUUACACUCUUCGUGGCAGCAAGCGUGUUGUGGGUGGUUCCGAUACCGAAAUAAGCACCCCGGUAUGGUUUGAGUUAGUUUUGGAGUUGUGGCUCCCAUUGAUGCGCGUAUUAUUUGCGGCUGUCCCAACACUUAAAAUGUGGUGUUUAGGGACAGCGGGUGUGAUUUGGACUUUGGAGAUACUCGGUGUGACCCAAGACACUACGUGAGGUGAAGUGGCAUCCUGGUGAUUUUUUAUACGGAUUUCGACGUAUUCGAAAUAUUGGUAAAAAUAUCCGAUGUUCCGUUUGUGUCGUGGCAAAUUGUAGGUGACUAUAUGUCACCAAGUAGUGAUGUGACUGUGUUGUUAGCAUCUUAGGGCUGUUUACUCAGCAUAUGCAUGGUUCACCACCAAAGUGGUGUUCGAAUCAUCGGAACGGUACCUAUAGGUUCGGUUGUGGCUUUAUACGGCGGUUAUCGUUCAGUUUGUUGAGAACUUAAUGUGCGAUUGUCUCGACACCUAAAGUGGUGCAUCCUGAGAUUGUGGUCACGCUGUUGUGACUCCUUGUUGAGUCGACUUGGUUUGGGCUUAGCUAUAUAAGCUGAUUUGUGGAACUGAUGUUUCGAUCGCACCAUGGUAUACGUAGUAUAGGUUGAACAUGUCGGAUUGAUGUAGAGGACACAUAGGAUACUUAUUGUGGCAUUUGGUGAUUGAUCUGGGACGAUCAAACUAUCCGGAUAAGUCUCAAUCGUUGCGGAUAAGGAGGAGGCCGUUCCAACUACUUCGGUUAGGAUAUAGGUCAAGGAGGUUCCAACUAAUUCGGUUAAGAUAUGGAUCGAGAUGGUUCCAACUAAUUCGGUUAAGAUAUGGAUCAAGGUGGUUCCAACUAAUUCGGUUAAGAUAUGAAUCGAAACGGUUCAAACUAAUUCGGUUAGGAUAAGAUCAAGGUGGUUUCAACUAUUUCGGUUAGAAUAAGAAUAAAGUUGUUAUUUUCAAAAUAUUUUGUUCUUAUCUUCUUGUAAGCGGGAAGGUUAUAAAUAGGGGCCCUACUGGCUCUUGUAAGUCAUUCCAGUUUUAGAGAGAAUUAAUAUACAGACUCUUCCACAUACAAAUAUUGUGUUCUUUUCUAUUCUUACUCUUUAAUCUGGUUUCAGAUAUCCAUCGGGGAGGCGCUGCGAUAUUGCUUCCUCCACCGACAGAUCAGUGAUUGCAUGUCUUGUACAGGUGACGAUUAGAUACACCGGUCGAGUCGAAAACUGGGAUACUUGGUGAGGUGGGUGCUCCAUUCCGAAGUCGGUAAAGUUGUAUCUUACUUUGUUUUCCUUCUGCUUGAUCUAUUCUAUAUAUUGACUAAGUAGGACAACUUCUCUUGACUUCACAUCGGUACAUAGUUUCACUCUACUUGUUGCUUAUAAUGUUGAUUAUUGUAUUGAGCUCUCCUUUAGCUCGUGUGCCACAUGUAGAGUAGGUUGUGAUUUGGUGGAAUACCCACCUGUUUAUGAUUGGAUAUGAUAGAUUGGCAUUUACUCUUAGUUGAGUUAUAACCAUAUUAGUCGAUUGACUUAUCUUCUGUGAAAUUGACCGAGCAGAUCGGUGUAUAUUCUCUGUUGAGUUGUGGCUACGUUAGUCAGUUGAUUCAUCUCCUAUGAUACUUGACCUGGUAGUUGACGAUUUACUCCAUGAGACUAACCUAGUCGGUCAGUGUUAACUUCCUCAGAAUUGACCCUCAGGGUCAGAUGACUUAGCUUAUCAUGAUUGGGUUUCAGCAUGCUUCACCUUGAUUAUCUACAUUAAUGUUACCUUUCCAUUUACCCGUGUAGUGUAGCAUGCUGGUUGACCUAGAGGGUAUGGAUCUUAGUGUUUUUGUUGGCAUCCAUGAGAUUAUCUCUUGGCUCCUACUAUCGCCUACUGACAGUGAUUUGACUGUUGAGUCUAAAUUAUUGGAGCUUUGAGCAUACACACAUGACUAUAGCUUGCAUAGCACCGAAGGAGUCUUAGACAGGGUUCCUAACCCAGGAUUCUUCAGUUGCCAACAUAGUGGGAGGUGAUGUUUCUUAGACAGGGUUCGCCACCUUAAGUUCUCACCCCCAAAUUUGAUAUACACAGCACUUAGACAAAGUGACUUUGGGUGCGGGUUGAUGUGUCCCUCCGGAGUGGUACUUGAUUUUUGGUCUUCGAGCGAGCUUAGGCCGGGCCUUUAUGACCGGCCACAGUGAUUGUGUGUAUUUUGGACUACUCGCACGUCCAGUUGAUGCAUAAUAUCUCUAUUUGAGUUGUGCAUAGUAUCUGGUAGUUGUCUAGCAUACAAUAGCAGCAUCCCUCAUUUAGUGGUUUAUGAUAUUUUGUUAUUCAUCAUCUUGCUACUGUAGUUGGUGUCUCUAUGAUGCUGGCAUGUGACUAAGUUUACAGUAGCGAUGCCUCUUAGUAUAUUCCAACAUGACAGUUAUUUACUGAUUUCUUUGCUACUGUGAUUGGUUAUAUUCUUCAUGUUCAGUACCUUGACUCGUGUUUGCAGUAGCAGCAUUACUUUGUGUUCCACUUUAUGAUAUUUAUCUACCUAUCUGUUUUGUUACUGCAGUUGGUUAUUCCUUAUUUGCAAUCACCUUACUUAUCGUACUCCUUUGUUUGCCAGUGAGUGCGGCUUGCCCUCGUCGGCUGGUUGUCCCCACUGGGAAACAUAUUUAUAUAUUUCCAACCCCACUGUUUUUUUAAGUGUUGCUGACAAUGCGGGUCGAGGUGCGGUCUGAGGACGCAGUUAGUUAGCGCCUAGAUAGCUCGUGCUAUAGACCUCGUUUUGGAUUCAUUCUUAGUUACUAUAUUUAUUUCAUAUGGAGGUUUGGUGAUUCAGUUUGUAGUAUUGUAUUAGUUAUAACACUUGGGUUUUUCCUAUUGUAGUGAUUUAAUAGAUUCUGAAUUAUGGUUUUGGAUUUAUUAGUAGUUGUAUAAUGAAACUCCUUGUUUUGAUUACUUGUGGUUACUUAUUUAUGCUUCCACACCGUGCACGUAUAGGGAAGACUCUGUCCGUGUGGACAAGUAUAUCUUGUGCGUGUGGCGGGUCUGUGCAUGUCUCGAGCAAGGUUUAAAUACGCCAACUCUAUUUUCAAAAUAGGACUUCUACGAAAGUUCUUUCAAAAAAAGGCCCGAGGCGUGACAUAAAGCUUUCAAAAUGGCAUUAUAAGAGUUUAUUGCAAACAACAAAAUUUAAAAAAUCGUGCCAAAACAUGCCACUAGGAUGUCAUGCGUAUCCAUUGACACGGAAGCGUGCCAAGUGUUGGCACGAAAGCGUACCUGUGUCGUACCUUGCCAGGCGACAACCGGCACGCCCCCAUGCCACGACACUUUAAUCCUUGCUACAAAGUAUGAAGAAUAAACAUCCUUAGCCAAUAAGCAACACAUUUCCAGACGAUAGUUGAAUUUCAAGUUUGAUAGACCACAACACGAAACAGUAGCAGGUCAGAAAUGAGUAUGUUUAAAUGCAUUCAGAUUUUCAGAUUCUAGUAGGUUUACAUACCUACAUUGAUUUUUGAAGAUCAGCAUUACUCCCAAGGUAGAAAGUUAUUAUGAUAAAGUUUUAAGUUGAAUUAAUCAACUCUUUCUCUCAUUAUAAUGUUUGUUUAAUUCAAGUUUGGUUAGAAACUUAGAUAUACUCUAUUCAUAUAUUAUAUAGAAGUUCCUUAUACCAAUUUUAAAGUAAUAUACUCAAGGACAUCCAACUUAUCAACAGAAGACGAAUUUCUCGUGAAUUUUGUAAUGCACAAUUUAUUUCCUACAUAUUAAGAGACAGAUAUCAGCUCAAUCUAUCUAACUGCCAGGUUUUGUGUAUACUGAUCUAUGAGGAAGAUGGAACAGGUAAAAUAAUACAAAGGUGGCCAAAAACGGACAUAUGAAUUCAUUAGUAGCAAAUAAGAUUUAGAACCUUAGGAGUUUAACCAAGACACCUAUAGUUCACAACAAUAGAAGUUACAAAUAAAUAGCUACAUGGGAUAUCAAACAGAGGCUAAGAUUCAACUGUCAGAGAGAAGUUUUUCAGAAUUUGCAGUUUUUCUAACCCACAACUUCAAGUAAAAACAAUUGUGACUUUCUCACUCUCUCUUCUCAUUUUCUUUUCCUUUUUUUUUUUUCCUUUUUUUCUUUUUUUCCUUUUUUCAUUGUCUACGGGUUUUUGCUUCUUGGCUUUGAACUUCUAACUGGCUAUCUAACUAUCAUAGCAUUUGAUGGCAACAGUACCCAGCUUGUAGCAAUUGAUCCCAGGUUCGAUCUCAGAUGGAUGCAACAAUAUUCAAAUUCCUUAGUAUAGUGAGUUUCCUUUCUUUGUGGGCUAGGAGGGAGGGAUAAAGGGUUGAGAGGCCUUCAAGCGACUUCAGAAAGAACUAAGUAAAAUCUAAACGGUUUUCAGUAUAUUUUGUACUCUAUUUUCGUUGAACAUUAUGAGAUCUAACUUACACAGCAUACCAAGCAUAUCAAACAUAGUUAUGAAAUUUCAAUUUAUUACAUCCUAGAUUCCCUACACUAUCUCCACAAAUUAUUAAUUACUAAGCAAUCUAAAUGGUGGUCUUACUCAUAAUUAUUUGGCAUUCUGUUUUUGUUGAAUAAUCUAAGAUCUAGCAUUAUGCAUGCAAAUACUAUGCUAUGAACUUAUCCUAUCAAUUGUGAAUCCAAAAUUUUGAUGCCUUAAACAGUUGUAAGUACGCAACUGCAAUACGGUCUGUUCAAUUAUUUUCAGUGAUUUAAUCUCUGUUCUCAUUGAUUAGGUUCCUAUUUGCCAGCCCUAAUUUUAAUGGGAGCUUGGUCAUACAAAAUCUUUGAAAUUCCUUAAUUUACGGGCACUCUAAAUGUUGUUAUACUUACCUACACAAUUCUUACUUCAAAAAUCAUCAGAUAAAGCUUUGUACUUGCAAUGAGAUGCCAAACGUAUUAACUACAAUUAUCAAAUUUCACUACAUUAUAAUAUUUUAUCUUACAUCUGUAUGAACUAACAUGCAACAUAAUGCACCUAAUCUUGAUAUUUACAAUUUUAACUAAAACAUGAUAAUUUUUUCAAAAUAGUUGAUAUACGCAUUUUAUAGCAUUCAAGUAUGGUUCACUACUUACAUACAGUAUGAUUAACAGCAUGCCAGUCAAGCGAUGUUAUAUAAAGUUAUAUUUUGCUAUAAAUGAGCACAUUAUGACAAUUAAAAAAAAAAUUGAAGAUGAUGAUGAUGCUAUAACACAUGCAUUAUGUAAAACGAAUAUAGUUCAUAUGAUGGUUUAUCCUAUCCACUGGUUUGUAGUGUCGCAAAUGUUUUCACAGUGCAUAUUUUAUAUGAUGAUUACAAUGAUAAUGAUAAAUAAAAAUUUUCCAAUUUCCCAUCGAGUACGGUGCCACCUCGGAAUCCUGAAUUUGGGUGUGACCCUGGAGAAGUGUCUGGCACCUAGAUAUCAUGAUUGCAUCUUUAUUCCAAUGCCUACUACAGAAUAUUUUAUGAAGAAGAACCACUUCUAUAUGUAUAAUGGCCUCGAGACUGACAUUAGAGAAGAUAAAUGACAUAUUAAUUCAUGACACAUGACACUCGGUUAUUAGUGUAUUUUUUAGACCUAUAUUAUAAUUUUGUGUCGUUAUCCUAUAUUUCUGUGCCAUCAUGCUAUUAUAUACUAUAGGAAUGUCAUGUUACUCACUCAGCAUUCUGCUCAUUAUAUCACCUCUAUAAACAUAAGACAACAAUGAAAAUUAAGCAGAGUUUCUUGAUGGUUGCUCUAAAAGAGAUUGCUUGUGCUACAACACUUGACACUAUUCAAUAUAUAUUAUAAUUUGGGGAUCUCACAAUAUAUGCCAUUUUGUUCACAACUUUCCACGGAAUAAGAUGUUGAUAUGCAUGUCAGUCACCGCAGCUUAAGAUUCAAGAAAUUAUUUGGGUUCAAUGUUCCACUCUUGAUAUAUGAUGGUUUAGCCAAUGUUCAGAAGAUCCGAGUCUCAUGGCCGCACAGCAUCUGCACACACUUAAAUGCAGGACAUGACAAUCAACCAAAAACUACAUCGAUGCCAAGUUGCUAAAAGAAAGCAUCUUGAAAAUCAAACAUAGCAUUACAUAAAUUAGGGGAAAAGAAAAGGGAACAACGAGGAGUCUAUUCCAAACAUAUUACGUACAUAUUCGGCCAUCGCUGGUGCUUUAAACCAACAAUAUCCAGAUCACAUGAAGUCAAGAAUGAUGUGUUUGUAUUAUUUACUGACUUGACCCUAAUUGCACUGAAGAAUGAAAGGAAACUGAUUCCAUUAUUACUAGUUGUCUUCAAAUAAUCAGUAGAAAUAUAAAUCCACUGAGCAAAACCCUAAGAAUCCUCUCUCUUUAAGGAGCAAGAAACACCAUGUAUUAACAAUUCAGGUAGCAAGAAUGAGGAAGCACAACAUAAUGAACAAAAAAAAAGAGCAUAUCACUGUAGACUACUCAAUUCAAGGGAAAAGAACUUCGUCCGAUAAAGCGUUCUAAUUUAAACCCACUAACACAAACCUGCAAUCCGAGGUCGCUUCCAUCAAACGCGGAUCUCUCCAGGUAACUGAUGCAGAACUCCACCGACCUCCCCAAGAUCGUCGCCACUGCCGGCUCCACCUGCUCCACUGCUGAAUCAAGAACACCAAGAGCGUCAAGAUGAUGAUCCAUCUAAACCAAAGACGAACCGAAUCAAAAUCCUAGAACAAAUCAACAUCGCAGGAACCGGAUCCGGCGUCGUCAUACCUGAGGCGAAGAGCACGGCCGAGGCGAUCGCCCGCGCCGCGGCGACCACGGCGUCGAUCUGCGCCCGGGUCCAGCUCUCGGACCCAUCGGCGGCGGCGGCGGCGUCGGCGGCGGCGUCGGCGGCGGAGGCGAGGACGGCGAGGAGCCGCCGCAGCCCCGGGCGCGCGGCGUCGGAGCGGAGGCGCGAGGCGAGAUCCUUCGGGGCCCUCUCCUCGCCGAGGAUCUCGACGAGCCCGGCGAUCUCCGCCAUCGCGAUCAAUCCCUGAGCUUACCCAAACCCUAGGAGGGAGUCGACGAUGAGCGAUCGACGCAGUGAGGGUUUAAGCGAUGAGUGAGAGAGAGAGAGAGAGAAAUGGGAAAGACGAGGUAAAGCGAGGGACCGAUUUAUAUUUUUAUACGUGGAUUAAGUCGGUUAAUGACGUCAUAAUUUGUCGAAACUAUACCCCAUUUCAAUUAUUAGAUUGUUUUUCCCUUAAAAAAAAAAAAAAAUAUUUCAAUCACCACCCUUGUGUAUUCACAUUUUUUUUUAUUUUAGUAUUCUGUGAUUUAAAAUAUAUCAAUUUAGUAUCCUGUUAUUUUAUUUUUAUUUUUUUUCUUAUCAAUUUCACUAAUUUUUUUCAUUAAAUUAACUAUAAAAUUAAAACUAAAAGGUACUAAAGUGAAAUUUAGAUAGGAUAUCUGAAGUUUUUUUUAUAUAAUUUAAAGAAAUAUUAACGAAAAAGCUAAUACAAAGAUAAAAAUAAAACCAUAGGAUACUAACUUAAUACACUUUAAAUUAAAGGAUACUAAAGUAAAAAAGUGCGAAACCACAGAGGUGGUAUUUGAAGUUUAUUCUAAAAAUAUAAAAAGCCAAUAGAAAUUACGGUCUGUUUAGUUCAACAUCAAAUUGUAAAAAAUAAUUUUUUAUUAAAAAAUACUUUUAGUGAAAAAAAAUACUUUUUUAUAGUAUUUGAUUUAUAAAAUAACAAUAAUAUUUUUUUUAUCAAUAUUUGCUUGGUUGAGGAAAAAAAUUAACAUUUAUUUGAUUUGGUGGAAAAAAUAAAUAAAUAAAUUUUACGCAGCUUAAGUUUAGGUUUUUCGCCAAAUAACAGCAAAAAAUGAAAUCUUCAAUUCUUUUUCAAAUAUGUAAAAAUACUUUUAUAGAAAAAUAUUUUUAUGUUAAACCAACAAAUAGAAAAUUAUUUUUCAUAACGAAAAUAAUUUUUCGAUUCGUUUUACGCCGAACCAAACGCCCUUUGUCGAAACUAUAAAUAAUUUUGAAUCCGUUAUCCAAACUUUAAAAUUUUAACUUUAUUAUUUUAUCUUUUAAUUUAUUUAAUUAGAUUCAACCGGCGAUACUUUAAUUUUAAAACUAAUUUAUUUAAUUGGAUUCACCUUUAUUAAUUAUUCGCUAAUAAUUAUUAUAUAAUUUUAUCUAACGAAAGAAUUUAAAUAAUUAAAUAUGACAAAGUUUUGUUAAAUAUCUAAUUCAAUUAGCUAUAACUAUUUAAACAAAAAAAAAGGAGGUAUCAACUGAAAAAAAGGAAAAAAAACAAAAAAAAAAAAAGCAAGCAAUGCAUAUGGAGACCCCUGAACAACAGACUUUUUGAAAUGGCUCCCCCAACUUUCUGUAUUUAAUUGAUCUUCUUUGUAUAAGUACUGCAGUCAAUUUAGACAUAGUUUCAAUUACUGCAGUUGAGGAUUCUCGUGCAGUUGCAAUUAUAGUAAUUGAAUUCAAAUGAAGAAUUAAGCUCCUGUGCUUUUAAAAGCAUACAAAAGCUUAAUGUGCUUAUAAUUUUUUAAGUAGUUAAUCGUCCUUAAAAUCCGUGCAGCACUAAUACAGAAGAUUUAAUGGAACACACCGUAAUAAUGCUGCAUAGUAUUUUGAGGCGGUAAAAUGUGUGCAAGAAGAUGGAUUUGAUUUAAGGUUGUGGGUCCCUGUGUUAGUUUGUUUCUAAAAAAAAAGUGAGUGUAUUAAAUAGAGGAAAAAUAAAUGGAAAAGAUCUAUGAGCUGUGGGGAAAAGUACUUUUUUUCCUCCUCCUCUUUUUCUUUUCUUUUGGUUCUCUCUUUUGGCUUUUCCACUUGCUUACUCCCCAAGCAUGCUUUAUGAGUGGGAAGGCUUAUCUAUAGGCUUUUGGGUUAAUUAUACUAUUGGUCUCCAAUCUUUUCAACAUUUUACAAUUUGGUCUCUAAUCUUUUUUUUUAAAAUUAAGUUUAUAAUCUCUUAAUUUCAUUGCAAUUAAGUUCCAGCCAUUACAUAGGUGUUAAAAUUGACGAAAAAUACCACGUCAAUACCAUGUCAGUGCCACGGAGGCGCCGUGUCGGCGCCACGGUGGCACUGUGUCAGUGGAUUGCAAAAAAAAAAAGUUGGGGACCAAAUUGAAAAACGUUGCAAAAAUUGGGGACCAAUGGUGUAAUUAACCCAUUAAAUUUAUAAAUUCAAAGCAAGAUUUUUAAUUUAAGAUUUAAAUGUAAAAUUUAAAAUUUGAUUUUGGAUUCAAAUUUAAAUUUGAAUUCAAAUUCCGAUUUUGCAUUUAAUUUUAAAUUUUUUAUUUUUAAUUCAAAUUCACAUUUCGAAUUCUAAAUUCUAAUUUAAUUUCAAACUCGAUUUGAAAUUUCAAAUUCAAAAUGUGAAUUUGAAUUCGAAGUUUAAAUUCAAAUUUAGAAUUGAAAUCAAAUCUUAAAUUCAAAUUUAAAUUUUGAAUUCAAAUUUAAAAUUUAAAAUCAAAAUUUUGAAUAUGAUUUUAAAUUUAAAUUCAAAUUUUAAAUUUAAAUUUCAGUUUCAAAACUUUCAUUUUAAAUGUAAAUUGAAAUAUCAAAAUCAAAAUCAAAAUUUUAAGUUUGAAUUCAAAAUUUAGAUUCAAUUAAAAAUUUAAAUUUAAAAUUUGAAUUUCAAUUCAAAAUUUUAAUUCAGCUUUAAAUUCAAAUUCAAAAUUCUAAUUUCUCAUUAGUUUAAAAUUUUAAUUUUAAUAUUAUUUUUUAAUUUAAAUUUAAAAUUUAAAAUUUUUAUUUUUAUGGACUAAAAUGAAAAACAUGCAAAGUUUAGGGACCAAAAUUAACAUACAAAAGGAUGUCAAAUAGGCGCUGAUGAGGCAAUUUUGUUAAUUUUAACAGUUUUUUUAACGGCUGGGACAUAAUUGCAAUAAAAUCAAGAGAUUAUGGACUCAAUUGCAAAAAAAAGGUUGGGGACCCAAGUGAAAAUUGAUGCAAAGGUUGGAGACUAUGAUUUUUGAACUUGCUUUUGAUUUUAGCUUUUUCUUUUUUAAAAAAAAAUUAUUAGAUAAUUCAUAGAUCAAAUAAAAUUUUAGGAGAUCCAAGANAUUCAAAAUUUAGAUUCAAUUAAAAAUUCAAAUUUAAAAUUUGAAUUUCAAUUCAAAAUUUUAAUUUAGCUUUAAAUUCAAAUUCAAAAUUCUAAUUUCUCGUUAGUUUAAAACUUUAAUUUUAAUAUUAUUUUUUAAUUUUAAUUUAAAAUUUAAAAUUUUUAUUUUUAUGAACUAAAAUGAAAAACAUGCAAAGUUUAGGGACCAACAUUAACAUACAAAAGGAUGUCAAAUAGGCGCUGAUGAGGCAAUUCUGUUAAUUUUAACAGUUUUUUUAACGGCUGGAACAUAAUUGCAAUAAAAUCAAGAGAUUAUGGACUCAAUUGCAAAAAAAAGGUUGGGGAUCUAAGUGAAAAUUGAUGCAAAGGUUGGAGACUACAGGUGUAAUUAUCCUAAGAUUUUUGAACUUGCUUUUGAUUUUAGCUUUUUCUUUUUUAAAAAAAAAUUAUUAGAUAAUUCAUAGAUCAAAUAAAAUUUUAGGAGAUCCAAGAGUAAACAAGCCAAUAAUUUUAAUUUUUUUAUAAAUUGACAGGACAAGUGAGUUGAUCCUAUCCACCCAUAGGUUCAAGUUUAGUUUAGGGUGUUUGGCCCGGCUUUCUAAAAGUGAUUCUGAGCUUAAAAUUUAUUUUGGGCUUAGUAAAGUAUUUAGCAAUAAAAGUUAGAAAAAUUGAUUCUACUUUUCAAAAUAAAAAAACUGACAACUUAUUUUCCUUGGCCUCAGUACUUCUCAUGCACUAAUGGAUAAACUGUCACCGCAUNNNNNNNNNNNNNNNNNNNNNNNNNNNNNNNNNNNNNNNNNNNNNNNNNNNNNNNNNNNNNNNNNNNNNNNNNNNNNNNNNNNNNNNNNNNNNNNNNNNNUUUAUAAAAUAAUAAUAAUAAUUUUUUAUCAAUAUUUGCUUGGUUGAGGAAAAAAAAAAUGGAAAAAAAAGAAUAAAAAAAUUUUACGCACUUAAGUUUUCGUUUUCCGCCAAAUAACAGCAGAACAUGAAAUCUUCAAUUUUUUUUCAAAUUCGUAAAAGUACUUUUGUAGAAAAAUAUUUUUACGUUAAACCAACAAAUAAAUUAAAAUAAACACCGAACUUGAAUUUACACAUAGUUAUAAUUACAGUGUAGCUGAAAUUACGUGCAAUCAAACAAUCUUUAAUUAGUUUUUAUUAUGUGUGCAAGAAGAUGGAUUUGAUUUAAGGUUGUGGGUCCCUGUGUUAGUUUGUUUCUGAAAAAAAAAGUGAGUGUAUUAAAUAGAGGAAAAAUAAAUGGAAAAGAUCUAUGAGCUGUGGGGAAAAGUAUUUUUUCUCUUUUUCUUUUCUUUUGGUUCUCUCUUUUGGCUUUUCCACUUGCUUACUCCCCAAGCAUGCUUUAUGAGUGGGAAGGCUUAUCUAUGGGCUUUUGGGUUAAUUACACUAUUGGUCUCCAAUCUUUUCACCAUUUUACAAUUUGGUCAAUAACUUUUUUUUCUACAAUCAAAUUUAUAAUCUCUUAAUUUUAUUAUAAUUAAGUUCCAGCCGUUAGAUAAGUGUUAAAAUUGACGAAAAAUACCACGUUAAUACCAUGUCAAUGCCACGGAGGCGCCGUGUCGGCGCCACGGUAGCGCUGUGUCAGUAGAUUGCAAAAAAAAAAUUAAGGACGAAAUUGAAAAAUGGUGCAAAGAUUAGGGACCAAUGGUGUAAUUAACCCAUUAAAUUUAUAAAUUCAAAGCAAGAUUUUUAAUUUAAGAUUUAAAUUAAAAAUUUAAAUUUUGAUUUUGGAUUCAAAUUUAAAUUUGAAUUCAAAUUCCGAUUUUGCAUUUAAUUUUAAAUUUUUUAUUUUUAAUUCAAAUUCACAUUUCGAAUUCUAAAUUCUAAUUUAAUUUCAAACUUCGAUUUGAAAUUUCAAAUUCAAAAUGUGAAUUUGAAUUCGAAGUUUAAAUUCAAAUUUAGAAUUGAAAUCAAAUCUUAAAUUCAAAUUUAAAUUUUGAAUUCAAAUUUAAAAUUUAAAAUCAAAAUUUUGAAUAUGAUUUUAAAUUUAAAUUCAAAUUUUAAAUUUAAAUUUCAGUUUCAAAACUUUCAUUUUAAAUGUAAAUUGAAAUAUCAAAAUCAAAAUCAAAAUUUUAAGUUUGAAUUCAAAAUUUAGAUUCAAUUAAAAAAUUCAAAUUUAAAAUUUGAAAUUUCAAAUUCAAAAUUUUAAUUCACUUAAAUCAAAUUCAAAAUUCUAAUUUCUCAUUAGUUUAAAAUUUUAAUUUUUAAUAUUAAUUUUUAAUUAAUUUUAAAAUUUAAAAUUUUUUUUUUUUAAUGGACUAAAAUGAAAAAACAUGCAAAAGUUUAGGGACCAAAAUUACAUACAAAAAGGAUGUCAAAUAGGCGUGAUGAGGCCAAUUUUGUUAAUUUUAACAGUUUUUUUAACGGCUGGGCAUAUUCGCAAUAAAAAUCAAGAAGAUUAUGGACCUCAAUUGCAAAAAAAGGUUUGGGAACCCAAGUGAAAAUUGAUGCAAGGUUUGGAAGACCUAUGAUUUUUGAACUUGCCCUUUUGAUUGUAAGCUUUUUCUUUUUUAAAAAAAAAUUUAUAGAUAAUUCAUAGAUUUUCACAUAAAAAUUUUUAGGAGAUCCAAGGUUAAACACAGCCCAAUAAUUUUUAUUUUUUUUUAAAAAAUUUAACAGGACCAAGUGCAGUUGAUUCUAUCCACCAAUAGGUUCCAAUUUUAGUUUAGGGUUUGGCCCCGGCCUUUCUUAAAAAGUAAUUCCCCCUGAGCUUUAAUUUUAUUUUGGGGCUCAGGUAAAGUAUUUAGCAAUAAAAGGUUAGAAAAAAUUGAUUCUACUUUUUCAAAAAUAAAAAAACUGACAACUUAUUUUCCUUGGCCUCAGUACUUCCUAAAUGCACUAAUGGAUAAACUUAUCACCACAUGGUAUGAAAGAGCAAACUAGCAAACUAUUUUGAAAGUGAAUCUUAAACCAACUUUAUUUAAAAAAAUAAAACCACAAUUUACCAAAACCCAACAUAAGCAAACUCCACUAUCCCAAACAGGGAUUGCAAACCGGGGAGUGAUCUGGGGGGGCUGGAGCCCCGCCCGCCUCCCCCACCCCCCGAUUAGCAAAAAUCCGCCGCUCCCAACCCCGAAGGCCCGUUGGGCGUGUUUAGAAAAAUACUCCCACUAAUCCGCCCCUGCCUUGUACCCGCCUCCCGUCGGCACCCGAAUCCCACCCGCAACUAAUAUUUUUAUAAAAUUAUAAUAUUGUUAAUAUUUUGUAAAAUAUAAAAUAAUAAUUUUUAAUAAUAUUAUAUAUAUAAUUUAACAAUAUCAAUUAUAAAAAUAAAAAAAUAUCAAUCGUAAUUCAAAAUAAAAUUCAAAAGUUUCAAAUACAUUAAAAAUGAAAGUACUAAUUUAUUUCUAUUUUAAACUUUUUUGUAAAUACAUUACUUUUUAGGAAUAUUUUUUAAAAAUAUAAAUGAUUUUUAGGGCGGAUCAUGGCGGGGCGGAUUGAGGGUGGGUCAAAAUUUCUCUCGUUUCCUGCCCCGAAUCCAUCUCGGAUCGUAAAAUUUACCCCGAAUCCGUUUAUUUUCUCCCAUUUACCGCCCCGUCGAGGCGGAUCGGGGCGGGAGCUCCACCAACCCAGAUCCGUUUGCAUCCCUAAUCCCAACCAACACUAGCAAGUAUUAUGAUCUAAACACAACCAAUUAUCUAAUCACUCAUAGAGAAAACAAAUAUAAAUAUUUCAAAGUAACCAAUCGUUCCUAAAGCAAGUGACAAAGGGCUUGGUGGUUGGUACUCGAGACCCAAGUUCGAAUCCUAGUUGAUUCACAUUUCUAGGUAAGUUUAUUUAUAAAUAAAAUAAACGAAGCGGGUAGCGUGCUAUCUAUCUCUCAAAAAAAAAAAAAAAAGAAGAAAUAUUUCAAAGUAAGUGCAAACCAAUCAUCCAAACAGUGAAAAUCUACUUAACCUCGCAUCAAUCCUAAUCAAUCCUAAGAUUGCUGAAAACAAAGUUAGAAUCAAAACAAAGAUAAAACCCUAGGGCUUUUCCUGGAAGGAGAUCUAGGGUUUCUCAUGACGGGGUCGGGUGAGCAGAGUCAGAAACCAGCAACAAACAAAGUGGGAGCGAAGUGAGCUCAGAGAGAAAGAAAUGAGGGAAGAGAGAAAGAGAAAGAAAACAGGGCGAGUCCACGCAAAGCCAGUAAUGGAAAGGUCAGGUAAGGGGGAAGUUCAUGGGGCUCGCUAGUCGACGUGCCAUGGCGAGUAGACAACGAAGCAGUGCCGAAGAAAAAGAGAUGUGAGGAGAUAGGGGAAGAGCAAGGGAGUCCUCCAAGCCCUAAUCCGUGCCAACCCGACUCGAUCCGGCCCUCCCCAAUCAAGAGAGUUCUUCUAGGGUUUCUAUUUAUGUCGAUCUCUUUGGAUUUAUAAAAAAAGAAGGUAAUCGUCUAUUAAUCUAUAUGAAUUUCCAAUAUUUUGCCACGUGGCAAGUUUUCCUUCACCUGAACUGAUCUUUGCUUUUAGCUUUUCCUCUCCUCUCCUCUCUUCUCUAUGCAAUGACCUGUAAUAAAUGUGCUCUUUAAUUUAUACAUUUCUGAUUAUUUUCUCUUUAAUAUUAGUCAUUUCUUCUUCCUCAAACAAUUUAUAACCUGCAAAAUAAAAAAAAGGAAAAGAUGAAUAGUUACUACUUUCAUAUCUAGAAAUUGGGGAAGAGCAAGGGAGUCCUCCAAGUCCUAAUCCGUGCCAACCCGACAUGAUCCAGCCCUCCUCGAUCAAGAGAGUGCUUCUAGGGUUUCUAUUUAUGUCGAUCUCUUCGGAUUUAUAGAUAAAGAAGGUAAUCAAAUGACUUUUUCAGUAGAGGAAGCUAAUUGGACAAUGAUAAUGUACGAAUCGAGGGAUAGGUUUGGGAAACAAAAACCCUAAACUUAAUUUUUCUUUUCUUUAUUUUAAUCUCAAAUUCUUACUAUGUAUCUAUUUAGGAUUUAAUUUAUUUGCAUUAUUUUUGAUAUGGUGGUUGUAACAAUCAAGGAUUUGAUUUAUGUGCAUUAUUUUGAUUAAUUUAAAGGUUAGUUUUGAUUUCAUAAUUGAUGUGGCGGUUAUGGCCCGCAACUUCUGACCAUCACAUGCCCAACCAAAAGAGUGCAAAAUCCUGCAAACUUACAUNAUCAUAUGCGUAGGCUCCGUUUAGGAUUAUAAAGAGAUAAUAUUACAUGAGGUGGAAAAAGUAUGAAAGAAAAAUAUUCGUACUGCUUCGGUGUCUAAAAUUACAUAGAAGCAUUUUUUUCAUACUUUCAUCCCAACUCUAUUUAAUCUAUAAUAGUGUUAAAUAAUCCUCAAAUCAAAUGAACUCAUAAAAUAAUUUCCUUGCAAUCUCAAACGAAGGCUUAAUAGUUUUUUUAAAAUUUUAAAAGUAAUAUAUAAAUAAUAAAUAUAGUUGAGGGCGUGCUUGUUUUUGUAAAUCUUUGAUGUUGAGCUUGUGGCUUCGAGAAAGUUAUUAAUGUCGGCGUUUAUUUCAAAACUGAAGUCACGUGCUGACCUAAACUCUCACUCAUAAUUAUAUAAAAAAUUAGGUGGAUCGUAAACACUAACUAACUGUUCCAAAAGCAUGUGCUAAUAGGAAUGACAAACUGAUAGCACUUAUUAAGGGUCAACGGGCUUCGACGUGACUCAACUCACCUGGAUCAACCCACCUAGAUAGUGGGUCUAUUGUUGAGUCUCUUACUGUUGGGUUUAUUUUGGAUUGCAAUCACACUCAACCUUUUGGGCUCAUCCAACUCAGCUUAUUAGUCUUCUGAGCCUAUUGUAGACCCGGCAAAUGGGCGGUUUGGAAAAUCCACACGCGGGCCACCAUACUUGUAGGUUGUUUGGGCAUGAAUAAAUGUUACCCGCAAAUUUUUGUGCAUCCAAUAUUCUUACCUAUACUUGUGGGUAUGUGGGUUACACAUAGGGUGCGUUUGGUUCGGGUUAUCCUGCCAGAAUUAUAGGCAAUCCUGUCAGGAUUAUUACAUUUGGUUCAUCCGAUAUGUAAUUUAGUCAGUGAUGUAGCAUUACAAAUAGUGCAGGAUUACACUGAAAAUAUUACCAAGAGUGGAGAGUGUGUAUGUUGAAUUACCAAAAGCGGUUAAUUUUACAUACUAGUAUAGGACCCGCGCUUCGCUGCGGUAAACGAUUAAUUUUAUAUUAUAGUUAAGUAAAAUUAUAAUUAAACAAUUAAGUAGAAAAAUAAAACAAAGAAACUUAGAGUUAAAAGAAAGUAAACAAAAAGAAGUUUACCUAAAUAUUGUGUUUUUCUUCUUUUGCCAAGAUAAGAAGAAAAAUACAUGCCCAGAACUAUUUAACGAAAAGAAAUUCACCUAGAUAUUGUAUUUUGUGGUUAAUUUUACACUAUGGUUAAGAAAAAUUAAGAAUAAAUAAAAUAAAAAUUGAUCAUAUGCUUUAGAAAAGUUGCCAAAAAAAAGAACAAAAAUUAAAGUAAAAAAAAAUAAUCAGAGAUUCACCUAGAUAAUAAUACUUUUUAUUAUAAAAAAAAAUAUUUUGAAAUUUCAUGUUGAGGAAAAAAAAAUAAAAAAUAUUAUAUAUAAAAAAAAAAACAGAUAAGAAGUUGUGAAGUUAUACUUCAGAUCUUUUUUUUUUUUGAGGGUAUAUGAGAUUUUUAGAAUGUUUCAGUGCGUUCUCUCUCUCUAUAUAUAAUCGGUUUUAUUCAAUUAGUAAUUUCAGAUGAGAGAAAAAAUAUAUUAAACUAUCGAAUAAAUUUUAGAAUGCCAAAUUGUUAUUUUGAAUAUUUUUAAAAAAUUUAAAUUUCAAAGUGAAUAAAAAUGAUAUUAAAGUUUAAUAUUAAAAUCAAAUUAAUAAUAUAUAAAAUAUUUCUGAACUAUGUAUGAACUAUUUUGAUUUAGCCAUUAAUAUUAACUAUUNAUAAUACUUUUUAUUAUAAAAAUAAACAUUUUGAACUUUUCUGUUGAGAAAAAAAAAUAAUAAAAAAACAUUAUAUCAGAAAUAAAAAAAUAAUAAUAAUAAGAAGCUGUGAAGUUAUACUUCAGGCCUCUUUUUUCUUUUUUGAGGGUAUAUGAGAUUUUUAGAAUGUUUUAACUGGUCGGCAUUCUCUCUCUCUCUAUAUAUAAUCGGUUUUAUUCAAUUAGUAAUUUCAUAUGAGGGGAAAAAUAUAUUAAACUAUCGAAUAAAUUUUAAAAUGCCAAAUUGUUAUUUUGAAUAUUUCAAAAAAUUUUAAAUUAAAAUUUAUUGCUCAUUGAACUAUAAAUAUGAUAUUAAAAUUUAAUAUUAAAAUCAAAAUAAAUAAUAUAUAAAAUAUUUCUGAAUUGUAUAUGAACUAUUUUGAAUUAGCUAUUAAUAUUAACUAUUAACUAUUUUUAUUAACUGUUCACUCAAAAGUGCACCGGGGGACGGGGCAUACGUGGUUGUUACUGAACCUAAGAUUGAUUAAAUAAUAAAUAAUUAAUAUUAUAACGUGGUUUGUUAAAUCCAAGUGCCCUGAUGUGGCGACCACACAUUUUUUUUCUAACUCUAUGUUGAGAAGUUUGAUUUCAAUUUUUCUAUACUCUAUUAUUGUGUUUAUACUGUUUGCUUGGGUGUAAUCUCAUCGUGCUUCUCAGAGCACGCAAUAAGAGCGACAACACAGUUCACUUCCAAACUUUUUGCUUUGAGCUCGAGAUGACCAAAAAAUAUACAAUGGUAUUCAAGCAUUCAUAAUAUAUAUGCCCCGUUUGGUUGGGGGAUAAGCGGGGAUAACGAAAGUUAUCCCCGCUAUUCCGCCAAACGGGGUGAAAUUUGACCGGAAUAUUUUAUCCCGGUCAAACCUUGCUAUUCCCGGUUAUCCCGGAAUAGCAAGGAAUUUGCUAUUCCACCAUUUUGGUGGAAUAGCACUAUUCCAAUGCUUAAUUUCAAACUUAAUUAAAAUUAUAAAUUGAAUUAAAACUAAAUUAUAUAAAUAUAAUAUGUUAUAUAUUAUAAUAUAAUAUUUUUAUUAUAAAAUUAUUAAUUGUACUAUAUUAAUACAUAUUAUUUAUAUUUAAAUAUUAUAAUAAAAUUUAGGCCAAUUUGUAUAAAAAAUCCACUUAUUUUAGGCUUUUGCAAAAUCGGACCACCUUUUACGUUUUUGCAGAUUCGGUCCGCUUUUUCAGCAAACUGACCAAAAUACCAUUUUUACUUUUUUUCUUUCCUCUUUCUCUCUUCUAUUCAUUUCUCUCGUUUUUUUUUUUUCUCGCCAGCAGAGCGGAAGCGGAAACGGUCCGUCUCGCCUCUCACCCUCAUUCUCUCGCCCUCGCCCUCGUCCUUGCCAUCGUCCACGCACCCCCCACCUUCCUCGCCUCCAACCCCGCCAAGGCCGCGCCGCGACUUUUUUUUUUAUUAUUUUUUUCUUUUCUUUUCUUCUCUGACUCUUCUCCACCGUCUCCGUCGACGACGCCUCUCUCGUCCUUCCCCGUCCUUCUCAUCUCUCCCUCUCCCUCAUUCUCUGCCGCAUCCGACGACGAUGCAUUUUCGCCGGCACCGACGUCGACACCGUGGAGGUCACUGCGGCGCUACAGGCUCGGAGCGGGGAUCCUUAGCGGCGUCGUCGCCGGCACCGUGGCUGUUGGCAGAGAGGGUGACAAAAAAAAAUUAUAGAAAAAAACAGAAAAAAAAUAAAGAUAAAAAAUUAUAUAAAAAGAAGGAUGAAUAUAAAAUUACAUCGUUAACUAUAAAAAAAAUUAUAAGUUGCACUACUUAAGAUGUAAACUGCAGCUUUAAGAUGAAAACUACACUCUUUAAACGAAAAUUACACUCUUUGAGAGAUAUUUACACUAUUUCUCUUCUUAUUACACUCUUUCAGAUGUAAACUGCAUCCAUUAAGAUGAAAGUUACACUGUUUAAACAAAAGUUGCACUGUUUCUCCUCUUGUUGCACCAUUUCUCCUCUUGUUACACUGUUUUUUAUUUUGAACUGCACCCUUUUAAGAGAUAUUUAUACUGUUUCUCCUCUUGUUGCACUGUUUCUCCUCUUAUUGCAUCAUUUCUGUAUAAACAAGAGAAGAAAUAGUGUAACAAGAGGAGAAACAGUGCAACAAGAGGAGAAACUGCACUGUUUUAAGAUAUAUAUAUAUAUAUAUACGGUUUUUUCUCUUGUUGCACCAUUUUUGUGUAAACAAGAGUAGAAACUGCACUAUUUUAAAAGAUAUAUCUACUGUUUCUUCUCUUGUUGCACUGUUUCUCCUCUUGUUGCACCAUUUCUGUGUAAAUAAUAGGAAAAAUAGUGCAACAAGAGGAAAAAUAAUACAAUACAAAGGAGAAACUGCACCCUUUUAAGAGAUAUUUAUACUGUUUCUCCUCUUGUUGCACCAUUUCUAUGUAAAUAAGAGGAAAAACAGUGCAACAAGAGGAGACACAGUACAACAAGAGAAGAAACAGUAUAAAUAUCACUUAAAAAGAUGCAGUUUAAGAUAAAAAAUAAUAUAAUUUUCGUUCAAAGAGUAUAAUUUUUAUCUUAAAGCAGCAGUUUACAUCUUAAAUAGUGCAACUUAUAAUUUUUUUUGUAAUUAAAGAUGCAAUUUCAUCUUCAUCCUUCUUUUUAUAUAAUUUUUUAUCUUUAUUUUUUUUUUGUUUUUUCUAUAAUUUUUUUUGUCACCUUCUCUGCCAACAGCUACGGCGCCGGUGACGACGCCGCUAAGGACCCCCCUGCUCCGAGGCUGUAGCGCCGCAGUGACCUCUACGGUGUCGACGUCGGCGCCGGCCAAGAUAAAUCGUCGUCGGAGGCAGCAGAAAAUGAGGGAGAGGGAGAGAUGAGAAGGGCAGGGAAGGGCGAGAGGCGUCAUCGUCGGAGACGGUGGAGAAGAGUCGGAGAAGAAAAAAGAAAAAAGCAAAAAAAAAAUAGUAUCGCGGGGCCUGCGUGUCUGGAGGCAAAGGUGAUGAUGGGUGCAUGGACAGGGCGAGCUAGGGUCGCAGAGCGCGGAGAUGACCGUUUCUGCCUCGCUCAGCCUGUUCCCUUGCUCGCUCUUGAGUGGGCAUUUUUUGCAGAGAAACAAUAUUUCAAAAAACGAGACAGAAACGAAGAGAGAGAGAAAGGAAAAGAAAAAGAUAAUAAGGUUAUAUUUUGUCAGUUUGCCUGAAAAAGCGGACGAAUCUGCAAACGAAAAAAGGAGCCGAUUUUGCAAAAGAUCCACUUAAAUAAGCUAUUUUUUUAUGCGAAAUUUCGAGCAUUAAAAUUUAUAUACAUAUAAUUUAUAUUUUAAAUUUAAUAAUUCUUUUUAUUAAAUUUAAGUUUAAGUAGAAUUUUUAAAAAAAUUUAUAAAUUUAUUAUAAGAAUAUUUUUAUAAUUUUUCCACCUACUUCAUUUUAUUUUUAAAUUAAAAAUUUAAUUUUUAAAUUAUUAUAUUAUAAUACAAUCUAUUUGAUUUAUAAUAUUUUAAUUACCUAUUAUUAAUAAUUAUUAUUUAUAUUUAAAAUUUUAUAAUAAAAUUUAUAGUAAAUUAUAUUUUAAAUAUUAUAUAAAUCUUUUUAUAAAUUUAAGUUUAGGUAGAAUUUAAAAAAAAAUUAUAAAUUUAUAUACAUAAUAUUUUUAUAAUUGUUCCCAUCCAUAUCUUAUUUUAAAAUGGUUAAAAAUUAAAAUUAAAUUGUUAAAAUUAUAAUUUAUAUCGCAAAAUUUAAGUUUAUAAUUAUUAAAUUAUUAAAUUUUAAAAUUAAAUUUUGUAUUUUAAUUUUUUGAAAUAAAAAUUUAUUAUUUUAUAUUUUUCAUAUUUAAAUUUGAUCUUUAAAUUUAAAGUUUGCAAUUUAAAAUUUAAAUUAUUAAUGGUGUUGGGUAAAAUUUUGAGAUUUUAAAUUUCGAAAUUUUUAAAUUUCAAAGUUAAAAUUUUAAAUUUAAAAAUAUAUAUUUAAAAUUUUAAAAAUUUAAAUUCAAAUAUAAUAAGAGGAUAAUAUGAUUAUUUUUUAUUUAUAAAACCCACUAUCUUUCUUAUUCCAUCUUACCUAACCAAACGCUAUUUUUUUUAUUCCCAGAAAUAACCCAAUUUUCAUCCAAACGCAAAAUUGAUCUAAUCCCCGCUUAUAUCUCAAUUUAUACCUAUCCCUGUAAUAGCCACUUUUUCUUUAUCCUCGAACCAAACGAUACCAUAUAAAUAUUAAUAAUUUGUACUGGAUCACAGAGAAUAAAUAACAACACAUGCAUAUAUUCUUACCAUGCUACAUGCCAUAAAUUACAAUAAAUUAUUACUCCCCACUAAUUUAAAUUACACAAACCAUCAAUACCAUUUUAGCUAAUUAAGACCCAUCGAAUAAUAUUUAA